CCAACGAAGACAAACAGGGAGAUGAAGAUGAAACACAGAGACAUAAAAGAGUCGCUUAGGGAAAUGAUAAAGAGAAGGGAGAAGGCAAUUAAAGCAGGGGAAGAGAGCAAUGAGGACUUGUUGGACAUACUUGUGGAAUCCAAUAUCAGAGAAAUGGAAGCAAAGAAUAUGGGGAUGAGCAUUGAGGAUGUGAUUGAGGAAUGCAAGCUGUUUUACUUUGCUGGCCAAGAGACCACUUCGGUCUUACUGGUGUGGACUAUGGUUUUAUUAGCAAGGUAUCCCGAUUGGCAAAGUAAAGCAAGAGAGGAGGUUUUGCAUGUUUUGGGUGACAAUAAACCUGAUGCUGAUGGCCUUAAUCGUCUCAAAGUUGUAAGUCCCUAGCAUGUCUUUUGAAGGUCCGAUCAAUGAGGUCGACAACUCAAAAACUUUGUUUCUUUUUUCGCUAAUUCUACAGGUAACGAUGAUAUUGUACGAGGUUCUAAGGCUGUACCCACCGGUGGUUGAGCUAGGACGUUCCGUUCCAAAAGAAAUAAAACUGGGGAAUUUGUUGUUACCAGUAGGAACAGAAGUUUCGGUUCCGAUCCUGCAGAUCCACCAUGACAAAGAUCUUUGGGGUAACGACGCACGGGAAUUUAAGCCAGAGCGGUUCGCGGAAGGGGUUUCCAAAGCAACAAAGAGUCAAGUCACGUUUCUGCCAUUCGGAUGGGGUCCUAGGAUCUGUAUUGGCCAAAAUUUUGCUUUGAUGGAAGCCAAAAUGGCGAUGGCUAUGAUUCUCCAACGCUUCUGGUUCGAGCUUUCCCCUUCCUAUGCUCACUCUCCUUACAGCAGGGGAACUCUUCGUCCACAGCAUGGUGCACAGAUAAUUUUACAUAAACUUGGCUGUAAUUGAAUUGUUAUGUAAACAAAUCUUUGUGAAAACAUAGCGUUUUAGUGUAUCGUCAAAGUCCGGUGUCUGUAAUGGUACAAAUUCGAUGCAUGAAUAGUAAAUUUUGAGAUGUUUGGUGAAGUCCGAAAUAAUAUGCAGAAAUUGAGCGUCUAUGGUGGACAUAGUUGAGGGACUAAUGUGGUAAUUAUCAAUCAAAUAAUUCGGUACAAAGACUUGUAUGGAAAUUAAAGCAGGGGGAGUUGAAAAUGACUACUCUGCUUUGGGCAUCAAUUUAGAAAGAUUUAAAGUACAACUGUGUUAUCAGUUAAGGGAUUUGUUUUAAAGAGGGAAUGACAAUUAAACCUCAUGGUUUAUUUGUGCAAGGGAACCGAUGAUGGGAUGAUUAUUCUUAGUGGUAAAAAAAACCAUUAUGGAGGUUAUUACACUUGUUAUCAUCAGCUUAAAAUUCGAAUGGGUUCAAGUCGGAUUAUAUCGAGCUUGUAAGAUGAGUUCACGGACCAAGUUUGCAUAAUAAAAUACCUAAAUGAAAAAAAAUUCUAUUUUAGAGGGACGAGAGCCCCUAUCAACUCCCGGCUCAGCCACUAAACAAUACCUAUAUCAUAUAAAUAAAUACCACCAUCUAAAAGACUCAAAGAAAAACACUCAACAAAGGAUAAAUAGAUAGAUGUUGGAUAAGUGUCCAAAAUAUGAUUUAAGUGAAGAUACAUGUGGUAGGUGUUACGGAAAUGUGAAGACAAGAAUCCCACUAACGUAUGGGAUGUGUGCAGUUGAAUGUAGGGAGCAAAAAGAGGAGUGAAUCAUUUUGGUAACAUUUGGACAAGAAACAUAAUGAACAAAAUGGAAGGAGAGGAAGCUAGUAAAAGAAUUUUUUUGGGUCAUAUAAUUUGUUCAUUUUGGAGUUGAAUUAUAAUUUUUUUAUAUAUUAUUUUAAAAUUUUAAGGAGUUAAAACAAAAUUAUUUUAUUUUCAGAUGGUCAAAGUAGAGGUGAUAAUGGGUUGGGCUAUUCGGCCCGGCCUGACGAUUCACUCGAAAAAUAGGAGGGUUUAGGUAAAAAUAUAGGCUCGAAAUAGGGAUUUGAGCAAAAAAAGAGUCCCGUUUAGAAAAUGGGCCAGGCCUCGGGUAAAAUUUUUUGGGCCCAAGCCUGACCUGAAUUAUAUAUUAAAUAUAUUUUUUAAUUUUUAAUCAAAUAUACUUUUUUUUAUUAAUUUGGUUAUUAUUUUAGUUCUAAUUUGUUUCAAUUUUAAUAUAACCACUUUUUAUUAUAUUUUCAAUUUGUGUAUUGUUUUAAGAAUUGUUUUAGUCUCAUUUUUUUAUUUAUUUUUUGUUUUAAUAAUUGUUUUAAAAAUUUUUAUUUAAUGAAAUAAGCUAAAAAAAUUAAUAUGGGCUUGGCCAGGCCAGGCUCGGGCCUAGUAAUUUUCUUUUGGGCCGGACUUAGAUAAAAUUUUAAGCCCAUAUUUUAAAUUGGGUCCUAACCUAAAAAAUGAACCUAAAAUUUUAUAUGGGCCCGACUUGGCCCUUGAUUACCUUUAGGUCAGAGCUAUCCUCGUUUUGCAUUUCUUUGAGAUUCAGCCUUAUCUACUGUGAUUGCCCACUCAAUUGAGGGUUGAGUAGAAAGAUUUGGUGAAGCAAGCUAAGCUAUCAAUCAAGGUUUGCAUAAUUAUUUAAAUGUAAUUCUAAUAUUAAAAUAAUUUUUUUAUUAAUAUAGUAUCAACAAGCAUUAAAUGUAAUGAUCAUAUACUAUUACAUUUUAAAGAAGAGAAAACAUGUUUGAACUUUAAAAACCACGUUACUAAAAACAUUAUCACAAACCUUGAAAUAUAAAAAAUAAUUUUUUUAAUAUAAUAAAAAAUUAAUUUUAAACCCGAGCUGAAUAAAAUUCUAAUUUUAGUUAAUGAUACGAACAACAAAUCAAUAUUCUAAGCCCGAGCCCUGCUCAUUUUUUUAAUAAACACCAAAAAUUUAUUUUGAAAAUAAAAAAUAAAAAAAAUAUUUUAAAAAUAUUUUAAAAAUAAAAAAAAUUAAAAAUAAAUAUUUAUUAUAUAUUCAGGCCGGGCCGGGCUAGCCUUGGGCUAAAAAAAUGGUGCCCGAGGCCCGGCCCAUUUUCUAAAUAGGCCUCAUUUUUUGUCCAAACCCAUAUUUUGGGCCUAUAUUUUUACCCGAACCUCUCAUAUUUUGGGCGGACCGUCGGGCCGGACCGGGCCGCCCGGCCAUGAACACCUCUAGGGCAAAGUCACUCAAUGAAUGCAUGGAAAGAAAUAUUGCAACUUGGUGACAGCUUUUGUUGGAGUUAUAUGCUUUUUUUUACAUAGUGGAACUUUCGGUGGAUUUUCAAGUUUCAUGAACUUUAUACCCUAGGCUUUACGUGAAAAAAAUCAUUGGACUUAAAAGUCUACCAAAAGUUUCACUAUAAUAAAUAAAUAAAUAAAUAACAUUGCUACAAGACUACAACAUAAAGUUACAAUAAGAGCUUAUAACUCAACAAAGGCUAUCAAUAAAUAAUCUCAAGCAAGCUAAAGAGAAAUGUUGAGAGUACCACUCAAAUAGUGAUUGACUUUAAAAAUUGAAAACCCGAAGUUAUUGUUGACACCAUUUUUUGGAUGAAAAUGUGUCGACUUGGGUUUUGAAAAUGAAAACGAAAACGAGAGUCGCCACCAAUCCUUUUUGAUAAGGUGUGACUGGGUCACCUUGAAAAGUGGUUGUUUUUAAUAAACGAUUUGAUUUUAUUAAAACAACAGUUUUGGUCCACGAAAUUCAGAAAAAUGAGUUCGGGAGUCGGUUACGCACGAGGAAGGAUUAGCACCCUCGAUACGCCCAAAAUUGGUACCUAGUUGAUUACUUAAUGUCUUAAUGUCGAAAAUUGAAAACUUUGGAGAAUUUUAAACAUACGAUCCUUGUAUUAAAACGUUAAAAAUUUUCAAGAAAAUGGGAUAUUUCACGUUAUUCGAUAAAGAGAAUCAUAUCCUAGUAAGUUAGGACACAAUAUCUCGAAUUUCCGAUAUCAUUUAAAACUUGAGUUUGAAAAGAUUCGUGUAAUAAAGUUUAAAAUAAUAUUCAAUUGUUUAAAUCAAAUGAAGAAAUCGCAACCCAAUACGUUAGGGCACAAUUUCUCAAAAUAUUAAACAUUGAAUAUUGCAUUUAUUUCGAAAAAUCCUCAUCUCGAGAAAACGUGUCACAUCCAAUGCAUUAGAAUACAACGUAUUGAAUUCUCGAUAACGAGCUUUUUCUCAUUUUUUAAAAGAGUAAUCUCGAUUAUUUAGGUUCAACGAAGAAAAUCAAAACCCAAUACGUUAGGGCUCGAUUUUCUCAAAGAUUCCAAAUACCGAGUAUUACUUAUAUUUUUAAAAUUUCUUUUUUGAAAUCCGAGUAAAAAUGAAUGCAAAAUAAUAAAUGAUGACAAUGUAAAUAAAAUGAUACAAGCAAAACAAUAAACAAUAAAAAUAAUCAUACGGGCAAGGUAACAAAUAAUUAGGAACUAAAGAAAGAGAACAAACAAUAAUAAACAUGCAAAUAAAUGAACAAAAUUAACAACAUGAUGCAAAUAUGAAAGAUAUAUAAGCACAUAUAUAUACAUAAAAUAAUGAGAAUAUGAAAAAAUGUGUGUAAUUGGACAUGUUUCGGAAUUAUUAUACAUUUAAAAAUCAUGUAAAUGUGUGUACAUACAUAUAUACAUAUAUAAUAAUCAUUAAAUAUAUAAAAAUACAUAUGUGUAGGUAUAUAUGAGUCAUAAAAUGUAAAGAAUAUAUACAAGAUAUAUUUUGAACGUAUAAAGUAUAUGUAAAUGUAUAUAUAUAAUAAAGGUGUAUGAAAGCAUAUUUUAUAUACGUGUAUUUAUAAAAUGUAUAUAAAUGUAUAUUGAUUUACCAAUACAUAUGGAUUUAUAAUUAUAGAAUAUAUAUAAAAUAUUUACAUAUAUACGUUUAUGCAUAUAUAAAAGUAAGUUAUUAUAAAAUAUGAGCAAGCAGAAUACAUAAAUAUAUAUACAUAAAAUAAAAAUGAAGAUGAAAAUAAUAUAAAACUACUUAAUAUAUUAAUAUAAUAGUAACAAAUUAAAAAAACAGAAAAUAAAGCUAAUAAUAAUUAAUAAUAGUAGUAAUAAUUAUAGCAGCAAUGAUAAUGAUAAUAAUAAUAACACUAAAAAAAUUAAUUAAAUAAUAAAAUUGCUAAAAAGGGAUUAAAUCGAAAUAAAAACAUAAAUACUGGGCGAUUUUGAAAUAAAAAACGGGAAGGACCGAAUUGCAACGCGCGUUGAAAAGGAAAGGGCCAAAACUGCAAAUAAACCACAGCCCCAAAACGCAGCGUUGAAAUGGACCAAGUCGAAAUAAAAAUAAAAUUGCAGGGGCUAAAUUAAAAAUAAGAGAAAAUAACGAAAAAUGAUCAAAUUGUAAUACGCUGCAAAAUCAGGGGGACUGCACGCGCAAAUAGCCCAAAAACUGAAAACACGCGGAUCCUCCGGGUCGGGUCGGGUCGGGUCAGGUCGACGUGCGGAUCCCCUUUGCUAAAACGGCGUCGUUUCAUGUUUAAUAUAAAUACUAAAAAAAGCUAAAAAAAACAGUUUCAUCUUUUUUUAAAAAAAACAGAGAGAAAACUCUCUCUUUUUCCCUCAGGUCCGGCCAUGGUCCGGCUUGGGAUUUCCGACGAGUCUCCGCCGCAAAGCCACCGUGUGUGGCGGCCGGAGGUUCAAAAUCAGACCUUUUUGGUCCUUUUUUAAAGUCCAUGGCCUCCAAGCCACAGAUCCGGGGCUGAAUCUCCUGAAUCGAAAGCCGAAGACCCAAAAAAUGGGGUGAAAUCCUUCGCCUUCCUCCCCCUUCCGGCGCUGCGCAGGUAAGGUUUUUUUUAACUCCUUUUUUACUAUCUUUAUUUAUAUAUAUACAUGAAGAGAAAAGAGAGCAAAAUAAAUAAAUAAAUAAAAACUUCAAAACUGAAGAGAAAAAGACCUUGAAUCUGCCUUAUUUAUUUUCUUUCGGUUGAAUCUGUUUUUGUUUGUUACAAAAGUUUCCAGGGAAGAGAAAAAAAAAGAGAGUUACAUGCUUGGCUUUUAUAGCCGAUAUUAAUUUCUAUUUUUUGUUUUCUUUUUCCUUUCUUUUCUUUGGCUGUUGCGUGUUUGCUUCCUUAUUGCAGGGUGAUUGACGGGAGUGGUUGGCGACAGAGUCGGUGGCCACUUGCACUGAUGAAGCAGCGGUGGCGGCGCUAGGGUAGGCUAGGGACGGCGGCAGUACUAGGGUUUCAGAAAACUGAAACCCUAGUUUGACAAAUUGGUUUCGGGCCUGUUGGGCUUUAAAUUAUGGGCUUUGUAAUUGGGUUUUGGGUUUAGGUGAUUUGGGUUUAGGUGGUAUGGGCCCGGGUCAAAUUUUGGGUAAUGGGAUUGGGGCAAAAUUGGGUUGUACAGUUAUAAUAUCCCAAACGAAAUCAAACUAUAAACAUUAAAUUUUUCGAGUCUUCUAGAUACUGUAAAAAAUUCAGCUCCAACGGACACCAAAUGAACCUAUGAUCGAAGAAAAUACGAAGACUAGUCUGGCUAAAUCAAUCUGCCAAACUUACUUUUUAUCUUAUCUUUAAUUUGCUGUGAAAUUCAAAACUACGUGUAAUACUCAAUUUAUGCUCGACCCAUUUUGUUAAAACAAAUAAAAAAGAAAAGAAAAACAAAAUAUUUAAAUUUAGCCCAAAUGUCCAUUUACACAGCCCAAUUACAAUUGCAAAUAAAAAAAACUAAAACUAAACCCGAUCCUAAGCAUCAGCCCAAAUUCGACCCAUGCCCAAAACGAAUUCAGAUGCAGAAACCCUAGCCCAGCCUUAAUGCAAGCAAAAGUCGAAAGCCCUAAUAGUUGGUGCGCCGCUCCUGUAACAGCCCGAUUUUGGGCCUAGUCGGAACAGUGGUUUUGGGACCACAAAUCCGACGAGAAAAAAAUGUAAUGGCCCGAAUUUUCAGAGGUGUCAGAACGGUGAUUCGAGAUCACUAAAUUCGACAAAUGGGUAGAAAAUAUUAUUAAUUUAGUAAGUAUAAGUUAAAUGUGAAGUUAGGAAAAUUUUUGAAAUGGUGAAUAGUACACUAGAAAUAAAUAUUAAAAUAAUUAGAAUCGAAAAUGAGGUAUCGAGACCUCGGGGAUUUUAAACCGAGCCAUAAAUAUUUUUAUAAAUAUUUAUGUAGUCUUAAAAAGUUAGUAUUAAAGUUUCGUUAAGAAAUUUUAAAGUUCCGAUAAUUAAUUGAACAAAAAGGACUAAAUUGUAACAAAUACAAAAUUAUGAGAAAUGAUUAAAUAGUUUAAAUGAUAAAAGGAAGAGGGCUUAAAAGGUAAAUAGACCCAAGGUCUAUUUGGGCUGCACGGCAAAGGCAUGAAAUCAGCAACAAAGUAAGGAGAAUUAAGGGCAAAAUUGGAAUAUUGCAAAAUUUACUUAAUAAAGUUAGGACCAAAGUGGAAUUAUCUAGAUUUCUCUUUAUUUUUCUGCAUUAUCAUCAGCAUAAACACCAUAGAAGGGUUUUCUUAAGCUGGUUCUUCCUAUUUUUACUGCAGGUAAGUUCAAUUCUUGAUUAUUUCUUGAAAAUUUUGUGUUUUUGUGACUUUUACAACUAGGCCCACUUAUUGUAUUCAUUAGUUUUUGAUUCUAUGAAAGAAGUUGAAAGUUGCUAUGAAUACAUGCUGGAAGUAUAUGAUGAUUUAGCAUGGAAUUAGAGCUUUAAAUUGUUCAUAUGCUGAUUUAUUGAAAGAAUUGAAUAGAAAGUGAAUGUUUGGGACCUAAUAGUAAAAGAGUUUGAAGAUAGAGUUAUAUGUGGAAAUUCUGAAUUUCAAUAGUUGUGAAACAACUUAUAAUGUCUAGGUUAAGUAUUAAUUGAGAAAAUUAAAUUAAUUGAGGGGUUAAUUGAGAAAGGACCGAAUUGUAUAAACUGUGAAAUUUGGGGCAAAAAGGAAAUCAACAUUUUACACUAAAGCAGUUUUGGACAGCAGCAGUAGUAUAACUUUGAAAAAUCACCAAAAAUUUUGAGAAUUGAAUUAGAGGGUGAAUAAAAUAUAAAAUUAAAGCUCCUUGAAUCUAGUUUCUCAUAGAAGAAACGGUGUAAGCAAUGGAAUUGUAAAUCAUGAGAUAUAAUAAAUUUUGUGAGACAAUGUCAUAAUGAUUUCGGGUUCCCCUAUUCUGACUUUGGAAAAUCAUCAAAAAAUUAAGAAAAAUAUGAGUUAUAAUUUAUAUGAUUACAAUCCUUAAUGAGUCUAUUUUCAAAGAAAAUAAACGGAAAUAUCAUCCAAAUUCUGUACAAUUAUAUAAUUCAUUUUUAGUGAAGAGUGGUCGAAACUGUCAGACAGCGAAAUAGGGGGAACUUUAAAGAAUAAACUGUACUAUUUGGCUGAACCAAAAAUUCUGAAAAUUUUAUGGUAAGAAGGUAUGUGAGUCUAGUUUUAAGGAAAAUUAACGGAUCUUAAUUUAGAGCUCUGUAGCUCUAGAUAAAAAUAAUUUAGUGACUCUGACUCAGAUAAAUAGCUUUGAAUGUACAUGUGAGUGAAUAGUGAAAUUAUAGCUAGUGUUGUUUAAGUGUGUUAUACACAUUAAGGAUAUGGAAUGGAGAGGAGGAGGAGGAGGAAAAAUUGGGAAAUAUAUGAAUGAUUUGUGUAUAAUUGGUCAUAUGCUUAAUUAUAAUUGAUAAACGAUGAAAUAGAAAUGAUGCAUAUAUUUGUGCAGUAUUGGUCAUGGUUUAAGCUCAUGUGGGAAAAUAAAGUUUAUAGUACGUGUGUAUUAUAUUUUUGGUAUAUGAUUUGGCAUUAAGUAAUGUCGUGAAUGGAUAUUGAAUUAACACAUGUUGGAAAGUUUGAUAUAUGAAUAAAUAUUGUGAUCAUGAAAGAGUGUUACAGCUCCUGCCUUCAGCACGCGUCGAGCCUCCGCGCCAAAUCCACGUGAGCCUCCGUACACUCCAACUAGCCUCCGUACCUGCAACAAACAAAAGUAGACAAAACAACAGCAAAGGAUAGGAAGAAAAGGCAGUAAAUAGUGAAGAUUUUUCUGUAAUUUUCUUUGGAUUUCAUUAUGUAUUUUCGGCUAUAAAAGAGCCAUUAGGAAUAUUUGUAAAGGGUUUUUUUUUUACCCUCACACACAAAGAGAAUAUACACGCAUACAAGAUCAAUAUAGAGAAAGAAAUAAAAAUAAAUAAAUACAAAGAAUAGAAAAUCAAGUUUCGAAGGUGAUUCUUUGAAAAAUCCUUUUCGUUUUUCUCAUUUUUCCUUUUUCCUGGAUCUUUUGUUCAUUUCAAGUAAAAAAAGUAUAGAAAGGAAACAAGUUUAGAGGAAGGAGGUUUACCUGGACGCCGGACCUCGCUCGCCUCGUCGAAAUCGAAGGCUGAGAGGGGAUAAAUCGGUUUUGCGGCAGAAGGAAAGGGGGGCUAGGGUUCUUGUUUUAACUUUUUUAAAAAAAAUAGAAAAGGUUGCUAAUUAGGUUUUAAUGGGGGAUUUAUGUGUGUUAAAAAAACGACGUCGUUUAGCGACCUUUGACCCGUGCGGUGACCCGACCCGAGGAAAGGAUCUGCGCGUUUUGGGUCUGAUGGGUUUAUUGCGCAACAAGCCCUUCCGCAUUUGUUUUUCGUUUCAAUUCGGUUUUUAUUUGUUUUUUAAUUGUUUUCUCAUAUUUAGUUCCAAUUUCAAUUGGGUCCAUGAUUAAACGACAUCGUUUUCAUUGAUUGGGUUUGAAGGCCUGGUUUUGUGCGUCUAAAUUGCAGCAAUGGUCCCCCUGAUGUGCAAUAGUUCUCGAUUUAGUCGUCUCCACACUUAUUUCAAAGUCGUCCUUGAGAUUUUGUUUUAUUUUUGAAAUUGUCCUUGUCUUCUUUUAAUUUAUAAUGAUAUUAUUAUUAUUGUUGUUGUUAUUAUUACUAUUAAUAUGGGUAUUGUUAUCAUGUUAGUUUAUAUCUAUUUAUUUACUUUUAUUUUAUUAUGUAUUAUUAUAUAAUGCUUUUAUCAUGUAUCAUUUUAUAUAUUUUCUAUGUUAAUCUAAUAUGAUAUAUAUAUAUAUAUGUAUUUUUGUGAUCUUAUUUUAUAAUACUUUUUUAACCCAUUUAUAUGCCUUUAUGUUUUAAAGAUUUAUAAUAUUUUGUGCAAAACUAUUAUAUAUAUAUAUAGAUAUACAAUUUAUAUUAGACCAUUUUUAUCGUACAUAUACGUAUAUAUAAUUUAUAUUUUGAAACUCUAUUUUAUUAUAUUUUAUGCCUCUAUAUACAUCAUUAUAUGUUUAUUAUUCUUUAUAUUAAACCUGCCAUUUCACUUAUAUAUUUUUAAAACCAAUGUGUAUUAUUCUUUCUUCUUUGUUAUUUUUUAUCUCUUAAAAUAGAUUGAUAAUUCAUUUAAUUUUUGAAUGUUGUAUGACCGAGAUUAUCGUUGCCAUUCUUGUCCAAAUUUAUCCAUUGCUUGUUCAUAUUAUUUGAUAAUUUAUCGCUCACUAGCAUGUAUCGUAAUUUACGAAUUAUCAUUUUGAAUUAUGUACUACCAUUCAAUCGCAUUACAUUUGUUUGGAAAACAUCGAAAUCGUUUUGCACAUAAACCUUCAAAAUGCUUGGUAUCCAAAAUUCUCGAGAGGAUUGUGCCCUAAUUUAUUGGGCUUCAAUUCCCCUUUUUGAUUUUAAAUAACCGAAUACCCCUUUUUCAAUUUGAACAUAGAAAUUCCAAAAUAAAAAAAAACUCAUUCUCGGGAAUUUGAUGCGUUGUGUCCUAACGUAUUGUAUAUGACAUAUUUUUCUCGAGACGAGGAUUUUUCUAACAAAUAAAAAUAAAGGCAAUAUUCGAUAUUUAGGAAUUUUGUGAAAUCGAACCCUAACUUACUGGGUUUUGAUUUUUUCAUUUGACCCAAGUAGGAUAUCCUUCACAAAUGCACAGAUUUUAAAAAAUCAAAAGAUAAACUUAAUUUCGAGGAUUUAAAAUGUUACACUCUGACUUACUGAGUGUGUCAAUUUAUUUCUUUGAAAUAAGUGAGUCUUAUCAUCCAAUUUAUUUUAUUCAAAUUUUCUUUUCCAAGGAUCGUAUUUUAAAAUUUUUUCAAAAUUUCGACAUUAAGACAUUAAGCAAUCAAUUCAGUACCAAUUUUGGGCGUCACGAGGGUGCUAACUCUUCCUCGUGCGUAAUCGACUCCCGAACCAGUUUUCUCAAAAUUCACAGACCUAAAAUUAUUUUCAAGGUGAUCCGAUCACACCACAAUAAAAGAUCAGUGGUGACUCCCAUUCCUAUUUUUAAAAGUCGAUUCCUGUUUUUCAUAUAUAAAAAAAUGGUUUCGACACUACGGUUUUGUUUGUUUCCCUUAGAACAACUUUCAAAAAGUUAAUUUUGAAAAAUGGAUUGAAUUUUCAAAAUAGAUGAUAUUUUUUUGUGUUAAAAUUUUAUUCGUUGUUUGAAAAAAAAAUUUAAAUCAUUUUCUUAGAAUUAUUUUUAGUGAAACAAAUAUAUCAUAAAUAUAUUUGUUAUAAAAUAUUAUAUUAAUAUUUUCUUUUAACAAUUAAAAUAUAUUUUGUGAUAAGGUAAUAUUUUAUAAUAAUUAAUAUCAUAUAUACUUAAUAAUAAAUCAUGUCUAAUUAAAAUUUAAUUUCAAUUAAAUAUAUUAAUAAAGCUACAUUUAAUCAUAUUUUAUAUAAUUAAAAUAUUAAUAUAAAUAUUUUUCAAUAAUAUAUUAAAGAAUAUUUAAAAUUUAAAUUUAUUAUUACUAAGAUUAAUUAUUAAAACAAAAAUGUAAUAUUAAAUAAUUUAUCCAAUGAUAAGUUAUAUUAAUAAUUUAUUAUAUUAUUAAAUAUAAAUAAUUAAAUAUGUAUGUUUAAUAAUAUUAUGUUAUAAUAUUUAUUACUAAUAUUUUAAUAUUUUUAAACAACCAUGUUUUAAAGAUGGUGGUGAUGGUGAUGGUGCAGGCCCCCUUGUUAAAAUUACAAUAUUUUUAAGUGGGAUGCAUGUAAUAUAUUGUUAGGGUUUUAGAGUAUGUGGUCUUUAAAAGGGUUAAAUUAUAUAUUUAUAUAAUAUGAUUAUUGUUUAUAAACAUAAUAUUGUAGAUAAGUUUAUAUGUAUGUCAAUAUGUAUCCUACUCUAAGGUUAAUAUGUAUUUUUUAGAUGUGGGUUUACCUAUAUAAUAGUAUGAAUCCAUCAUGUGGUCUCAUGAAAUAUACAAACACAUAUCGUGCGAACACAAAGUACGAACAAUAAAAAAUACAAAUCAAGACCCAAUUGAAUAAUUGAAUAACGGAUAGGUAAUAAUGAAUAUCAUAACAUUUACUAUCCCCUCUUUUCUAGUGAGUUAUUGUUUAUGAUAAAUUUGCAACAAAUGUUUUUAUCAUUAUUUUGUUGGUAAAUGAUAAUAAGAUUAAACAUUACUUUCUUAAGCUCCUUCAAUUCUUUGGACGUUAGCGAGUAAACUUGAGCUUCAGCAUUCCACAAACACCUUAAUUUGAAGACACAGUUCUCUCAUACUAAAAACGACAUGGACGUUUACCUUGUAAUUAGAGAUUUGGGCUCAUUGUUGGGUUAUUAAUGAUACGGGGAUGGAGAGCUUUAAACUGGGUAUGGUUGGCCCCAAAGAGGCUCGAAACGUGCUUGAGACUAGAGGUGAUCAAGGGCCGGGUUAGGCCCAGUCUAGAAAAAAAAUUAGGCCCAUUUUUUAGAUUUGAACUCGGCUCGGCUCAAAAUAUAAGCUUAAAAAUUUGUCUAAGUUCAGUCCGAAAGAAAAUUGUUAAGCCCAAGCUCGACCCAUAUUAAAUUUUACAACACCAAAAAAGUAUAUUUAAAUAAAAAUAAAAUAUAUAUAUUUAAUAUAUAAUUCGGGCCGAGCUGAACUCGGGCCAAAAAAGUUUUACUCGGGGCUGGUCCGUUUUCUAAACAGACUUCGUUUUUUUUGCCAAAAUCCAUAUUUUUACCCGAAUCUUCCUAUUUUUUGGGGUGUGCCGUCGGGCCGAACUGGGUAACCGAACCAAUGAUCACCUCUGUAAUCACUGAAUUUUGUCCGGGAAUAACUUUCGUUAAAAAAAUUUUAAAAUUAAAAAAAAAUUAACUUUUUUGCUUUUUGACCCCUAAACUUUUCUAAAAUUUCAUUUUAACCCCUAAACUUUCUCAAAAUUACAGUUCAACCCCUAAACUUUUCUAAAUUACAUUUUGACCCCUAAAAUUUCUUAAAAUUACAUUUGGACCCUUACACUUUCUCAAAAUUACGUUUCGGCCCCAAAAUUUUUGCUACAUUUACAAAUUGGUCCUUCUGUCAGAAAAUCCCCAAUAAUCCGGCGGAUUUCGUGCACCUGCCCCACUAUUUCCGGCAGCCGGCCUAGGGCAUGGCCUUCCCCACCUGCUACCUGCAAACAAGAAGCAAAAUCAACUAUAAAAAGGAGUUUAAACUCCAAAAAUCGGACCCCCACCCACGAAAAAAAUAAAAAAAAAAAACUUGAAAGAAAAAGAAAAAAGCUUUGAGAAAGAAAAAGAAAAGGAAAAGAAGAGAGGGGAGAAGGAGAGGCCGACCAUCGGCGAGCCACCGGAGGAGGCGACGGCAGCAGCGGCAUCGACGGCGGCGUAGAAGACCGAACGGAGAAGAAGAAGAAGAAGAAAAAAAAAGAAAGAAGAGAAAGAAAGAAGGAAGAAGAAGAAGAAAGAAACAAAAAAAAAAGAAAAUAUUUUGUAAUAGUCGGCCCGGCCCGACUCGACCUGCACGACCCGUGACCCGACCCGACAGCACCAGCAACCUAGCAGGCCACGGUAGCAGCCCGGCGGCCCAAAGAGUAGCCCAAAAAGAAAAAAAGAAGAAGAACAAAGCAAAAAAAAAAAGCAGGCCAUUUUCAGCAGGCCCAGUGCAGCCCAGCAGACCCAGCGAACCCAGCAGGCCAGGCCCACACGCAAGCAGCCCAACAGAAAAAAAGGGAAAGAAAAAGAAAAGAAAAAAGAAAAAAGAAAAAAGAAGAAGAAGGGGUUCAAUUUGUAUUAUCCGUUCGGCGAAGCUCGUGUUUUGAGGAUUUUUUUUCGGUAAUUUUAUUUUUUAAUUUUAAUUUAAUGCUCGUAUUUUUUUUAAAUAUUAUUAGUAUUUUAUGCAUUUUUAUAUUUUGGCAUUUAUAUUUUUAAUUUAAUUUACUUCAAUUUUUAUUUUAUUUUAUUUUAAAUAAUUUUAAUAAAUGAGGCAACGAAUCGAUUUAACAUAAAAUCGUUGAUUUCAUUGCUAUGUUGGGUGAAUAUCAUCGGUUUGUGUUAAACACGAUACACCCUUUUUAAAAAAAAGAAAAAAAUCGAAAAAAUUCUAAAAUUCUCAUUUUUUUAAAAUUCUCGUGUUUUAAUAGAAUCACGAUUAAAUAUUAAGUUGAAUCGAUUUGGCACUAAUUCGAUGAUUUCAUCUCCAUGUAGGGAUGAAUAUCAUUUAUUCGUGUUAAAUAUGGUACUUCUGAAAAAAAAUCGGGUUUCAAAAAUUUUCGUGUUUUCAAAAAUUCUCAUGUUUCAAAAAUCUUCGUGUUUUAAAAAUUCCAGUGUUUCAAAAAUUUUCGUGUUUUCAAAAAAAAAUUUCUCGUGUUUUUAAAAAUUCCCGUAUAUCGAAAUUUUCUUGUUUUCAAAAAAAAAAUUCCAUGUUUCAUAAAUUUCCGUGUUUUCAAAAAAAAAUUCUUGUUUUUCAAAAAUUUUCGUUUUUAAAAAAUUUGACCGUGUUUCAUAAAUUUUCGUAUUUCAAAAAAACCUCGUGUUUCAAAAUUUUCGGGUUUUUUUAAAAACAAUUCGUGUUUCUAAAAUUCUCGUAUUUUAAAAAAAAUCGUGUUUUCAAAAAAAGAAAAAGUUGUUGUGCUUUAAAAUUAUCGUGUUUCAAUCGGAUCACGAUUAAUAUUAAAUUGAACUCGUAUUUUUGAAAAUGAAAACAACGCGCGUUUAACGAGAUACCAAUUUUGGGCGUCGCGAGGGUGCUAAUACCUUCCUCGCGCGUAACCGACUCCCGAACCUUAAUUUUCUCUGAAUUUUUACGUGGACCUAAAAUUACCUCUUUUUAGAAAAGUUUAAAAAUGAAUUUUUCUUCUAAAAAGAGAAUUUUGUAGGUGUCCGAUCACACCUAAAAAAAGAUCGGUGGCGACUCCUUUUUUUCAAAUAAAAUCGAGAUUCAGUUUUCAAGUUUUUAAUAAUUACUUCGACAAGCGCCCGUGCGCAAAAUUUUUAAGUCGCUACAGCCUCUACUUGAGACAACAGGGUUUUGCAGGGAAUUCUUACAGGUUCGUUUCUGGCGACAAAAAAGAGCUCUUCACUAUAAGCAUACAAACAAGAGCCAAAACUAUGCCUCUUAGUGAUGAUAUUAGGCCUUAUGUUAUUCCUUUUCAACAUCAAACCGUCAACCGGUAUGGUAUGUUUUUUUUAUUUAAUCUGCAAUUUGUGAUAAUUCUUUGUUAUUUAUGUAUGGAAUUUAUUGGGAGGAAAUGCUGGAAAGAAUUCAUUUACGAGAAUUGGUCCAAGAUCAAGGGUGAACAUUACGGACCCUGAAAAAUAAGAGAAAUACUUAACAAAUUUAAUGACUUCCAGAAGAUACGUACCAAUCCACUGCUUAAUUUGCUUGUAAGCGGCCUUGUUAACCUCGAAGGAGACCGAUGGAGCAAGCAUAGAAAAAUCAUAACCCUUGCAUUUCAUCAAGAUAAGUUGAAGGUAUAGAAUAGUAAUGGGUACUCAAGACUUUAAAGAAAACAUCAUACUUAAGCCUAUGCUUUUCUGAUUUAGAAAUAAUUGGAUGCAGAAUAUGUUGCCAGCAUUUUAUCAAAGUUGUAGUGACAUGUUUAAGCAAAUGGGAGAAGAUGGUGUGUACAGAAGGAUACAUUGAGUUAGAUGUGUCGCCUUAUCUCGUAGAUUUGACAAGAGAUGUUAUUUCCCGAUCUGCUUUUGGAAGCAGCUUCGAAGAAGGCAAACGAAUUUUCCAAUUACUAGAGGACCAACUCGUUCUCACAAUCAAAUUAAUACAAACUGUUUACAUUCCAGGAUGGAGGUAACCGUCUACUUUAAUUUACUUGAAAAAGGUUGCAAAUGUUGGAAUUGGCUAAAUUCGUGUUUGUUUUCUUGAAGGUUUUUGCCCACAAAGACAAACAGGGAGGUGAAGAUGAAACACAAAGACAUAAAAGAGUCGCUCAGGGAAAUGAUAAAAAGAAGAAAGCAGGCAAUUAAAGCAGGGGAAGAGAGUAAUGAGGACUUGUUGGACAUACUUGUGGAAUCCAAUAUCAGAGAAAUGGAAGCAAAGAAUAUGGGGAUGAGCAUUGAGGAUGUGAUUGAGGAAUGCAAGCUGUUUUACUUAGCUGGCCAGGAGACCACUUCGGUCUUACUGGUGUGGACUAUGGUUUUAUUAGCAAGGUAUCCCGAUUGGCAAAGUAAAGCAAGAGAGGAGGUUUUGCAUGUUUUGGGUGACAGUAAACCUGAUGCUGAUGGCCUUAAUCGUCUCAAAGUUGUAAGUCCCUAGCAUGUCUCUUGAAGGCCCGAUCUCUGAGGUCGACAACUCAAAAACUUGGUUCUUUGUUUCGCUAAUUCUACAGUUAACAAUGAUAUUGUACGAGGUUCUAAGGCUGUACCCACCAGUGAUUGAGCUAGGACGUUCCGUUCCAAAAGAAAUAAAACUGGGAAAUUUGUUGUUACCAGCAGGAACAGACGUUUCGGUUCCAAUCCUGCAGAUCCACCAUGACAAAGAUCUUUGGGGCGACGCCGCACGGGAAUUUAAGCCACAGCGGUUCACGGAAGGGGUUUCCUAAGCAACAAAGAGUCAAGUCACGUUUCUGCCAUUCGGAUGGGGUCCUAGGAUCUGCAUUGGCCAAAACUUUGCCAUGAUGGAAGCUAAAAUGGCGAUGGCUAUGAUUCUCCAACGCUUCUGGUUUGAGCUUUCCCCUUCCUAUGCUUACUCUCCUUACAACAUGGCAACUCUUCGUCCACAGCAUGGUGCACAGAUAAUUUUACAUAAACUUGGCUGUAAUUGAAUUGUUAUGUAAGCAAAUCUUUGUGAAAAUAUAGUGUUUUAGUGUAUCGUCAACGUCUGUCUGUAAUGGUACAAUUCCGAUGCAUGAAUAGUAAAUUUUGAGAUGUUUGGUGAAGUCCGAAAUAAUAUGCAGAAAUUGAGUGUCUAUGGUGGACAUAGUUGAGGGACUAAUGUGGUAAUUAUCAAUCAAAUAAUUCGGUACAAAGACUUAUAUGGAAAUUAAAGCAGGGGGAGUUGAAAAUGACUACUCUGCUUUGGGCAUCAAUUUAGAAAGAUUUAAAGUACAAAUGUGUUAUUAGUUAAGGGAUUUGUUUUAAAGAGGGAAUGACAAUUAAACCUCAUGGUUGAUUUGUGGAAGGGAACCAAUGAUGGGAUGAUUACUCUUAGUGGUGAAAAAAAAACUAUUAAGGUGGUUAUUAUAGUUGUUAUCACCAGCCUAAAAUUUGAAUAGGUUCAGGUCGGAUUAUAUUGAGCUUGCAAGAUUAGUUCACGGACCAAACUUGCAUGAUAAUAGGUAUUCACAACAAGAUAUCUAUAGUUUCCAACAAAGUCACAUGUGAGAUCGUGCAUUAGAACCGCAUAAACAUGUUUUAUGUUUAGAAUAUGAUAUGUGUCUAUGUGUAUAGAAUCUACCUAAUAUAUCAUAUUAAUGAAUAGUAUCAAUUGCGGAGCCAAAAAAUUAUUUGUGAGGGGUCAGAAUUAAAUUGUAUAUUUUUACAAAAAUAAAAAUUAAAUUUCACUAUUUUAAUAGUUUAUUUAUUUUUAAUUUUUAAAUGAUUAAAUUAAAUUUUAUAAAUUUUUAGGAUCAAAGUAUAAUUUUAUCAUUACUAAUUUAAAAUUUUAUAAAUUAUAAAAAGUUUAUAUGAAAAGUUUUCUAUUUUAGGGUGGCCAAAGCCCCUGUCAACUUCUGACUCGAUCACUUGCGGUUAGUUGGGUAAAGACUCAAGAAAAAUAGCGGUGUGUUUGGAUGGACGGUGCGUUUACUUGCGGUUAGUGUAAAAAUAGCGGUGGCGGUGAGAUUAGAUACUAUAGCAACACUGUAGCGUGAGACAAAAAGUAAGUUAAACGCACUGCACUGCACUUAAUCGUCUAUCUAAACUCACCAUAAGUGUCUAAAAUAUGAUUUAAGUGAAGAUACGUGGGGUAGGUGUCAUGGAAAUGUAAAAAAAAAAAAGAAUCCUACUAAUGUAUGGGAUGUGUACAAUUGAAUGCAGGAGUGAAUCAUUUGGGUAACAUUUGGACAAGAAACAUAAUGAACAAAAUGAAAGGAGAGGAAGCUAGUAAUAAAAGAUUCUUUUGGGUUAUAUAAUUUGUUUGGCAUAUAUUUUUAUAAUAUUUAAAUAUCAUUUUGGAGUUGUUGAAUUAUAAUUUAUUUUUAUGUUUUAAAACAUAAUUAUUCUAUUUUUAGAGGUCAGAGUAGAGGUGAGCAUGAGUCGGGCUACUCGGCUCGGGCUGAAGGCUUGCGCAAAAUGUGAGAGAUUUGGGUAAAAAUAUAGGCCCGAAAAAUGAGUUUAGACAAAAAAAAAUAUAAGGCCCGUUGAAAAAACAGGCUAGGCCUUGGGUAAGGCAUUUUGGCCCCAGACCCGGCCCAACCCAAAUUCACUAAGGGCACGUUUGGUUCGCUGUAUUGGAAUAGAGGCGUAAUGUAAUAGAGGCGUAAUGGAAUAGAGACGUAAUAGCAAAUCAAUUGUUUGGUUGAAUGUAAUGGAAUAGAGGCGUAAUAGUAUUCUUAUAUUUGGUUGAAUGGAAUAGAGUUGUAAUAGCAUAAGGAAAAAAGUUAAAAUGACUAGAAUACCCUUAGCAGAAAUUUGUUUAGAUAAAUGAUUAUUGUUAUUGUUAUUAAAUUUUAAUAAGAUUAUUAAUAUCAGUAAUAAAUAAUUUAAUCAUAUUUUAACAUAAUUAUUAUUAAAUAUAAUUUAAUAAAAAUAUAUAAUUUAAUAAAAUUCUUAAUAUUAAAUAUUCUUAAUAUUAAAUUACUAAAAUCAUAAUAUAUAAUACUAUAAAAUAUAAUUUAACAUAAUUAUUAUUAAAUAUAAUUUAAUAAAAUUCUCAAUAUUAAAUAUAUUCUUAUAUGAAUUUACUAAAAUCAUAAUAUAUAAUACUAUAAAAUAUAAUUUAAAAUAAUUAUUAUUAAAUAUAAUUUAAUAAAAAUAUAUAAUUUAAUCUAAAGUUUGAAUGUGUAUUUACCUAGCAAAAAUCAAUGAACUCUCGUGUAACUAUAACCUUAAUAAUAUAUGAUGUAUAAUUAAUAUUUCGUGACUAAUUAAUAGCAUAGAGAUAAAUAUAGUAAUGACGAAUUUAUAGUAUACGAUUAAAAUGCUAAUAAUUUAUAGUAUACAAUUAAAAUAUUAUAAAUAAAAUAAUAGUAAAUGAUAUAUAAGAUAAAUUAACAUAUAAAUAAUUCAGAUAUGUAAAGGAUAUGGCUGAAUAUGGUUGCUCCAAUAAUAAAGGAUAUAUAAUAUAUCAUGGUGUUGUUUUGUUUAGAUAGUUCGGUAACUUAGGAGGGUAUGUAUGAAGAACACAAGUUGAUGCAGAUAGAAAGACGACAAUAUUACAUGAUUACAAUAUGAUAUAGUAUAUAUAUAUAAUUUAUGGAUUCCUUGCAAUCACGUGGGUUCUCUAGCCAUUUUAUUUAGCAUAUCCAGUGAUAUUAAGAUCCAGAAUUAUAAUACAACUAAAAUCUGUGCACACUUAUGGAUGAUCCAACAAAGCCUCAGUUGGCUUUAGGUUCCAAAUCUUGCAACCCACAAACCAUAUUUGCUGGCACUGCAACAUCAAUCAUCUUAGGAUAUGCCAAGUUAAGAUCUGUUGCACCAACAAAAACAGAGGAGAAAUUGGAAGGCGAUCCGAAAAAACCCAAGGAUGCUUUUUCUUUUCUUUUUUUUUUAUAAUCUUUAUAGACUGGUUAUAUUGAGCAUCAACUUACUUUCCAUGAUGUUUUUGAAAGUCUCUUACAAAAAGGGUAUUCAACAAAUAAUAUAAUCAGACAUAUUGAUAGGACAAAUUGAAACUAGUAUUCUAUGAUCAUAAUAAAGAGUAAUCUUUAAUCAAAUGCGUGAAGGUAUUGAGAUGUCAUGCUUUUUCAUGAUUUCCUGUUUUACCAUGGCGAUGUUCAUUGGAAUAGUCCCAUCCAAGAGAAUCAAACCAAUGCUCAGCAAGAAAUGUUCAAUGCAUAUGUAAUUUUAAUUACAGAAGUUAUAUGCAGCUUAUAUGAGUUCAAGAUCAUAAAAUACUUCAUGGACAAAAGGAAACCCUUUCUUAUCACUGAAAUGAAAAUAGGCACUCUUAAUUUUCUAUUGUCAAAAGUAGCAAGCCAUUUUCCAAAGAAAAGGGAAGAUGGAUGGUUCCAGAAAGAAUACCUCAUCCUUUGUCAAGUGUGGAUUAUAUAGCAUCUCCUCUCCCACAGUGGUUACCUAUAAUCAAUGAGGUUUAUAAAAUCGAGCAAUCAUUUAUAUAUGUAAGAAAUGAUAGGAAUAAAGUUUUAUAUCUUACUGAGAAUCCUUUGUAGUCAUGAGCUGGAUAUAGCAAUGUCUCUUUCGGUAAUGUAAAAAUCUGGAUCCAUGAAACAAAUAAGUCCAUAAAUUUUAUUCAAAUUUUGACAAUUACAAUAAAAUUUUGAGAACUCAAAGAAUGUGACCAUAAAAAGUCCCCUGUCCUUACCUGUGAAUGCACUGACUUGUAGAGUUGCUGUGAACUUCCACCCUGCAAAAUGCAUUAAUCAGUGCUAGUCAAUGGCUACUGAAUGUGGGAGCAUUAGAGAAAAUUAUCUUAAAAACUUAAGUAUAACAAAAUUAGACAAUGACAUCCAGAUGGAAAGAAAUUGCCAGCAUAUAAGACCAGCAUUUAUGUACUCACGACUGAAAAUCCUUUGCAAAAAGUAUAGCCCUGAUAGUUCAAACUUUUACUUCAAGGAUGAUUUAAUUACUGAUUAGUUUGCCAUGAGGCUUGUGAAUGACAAACACUUUAUGUGCAACCACAGUAACAAGGUAAGCACCAAUAAGUAGAAGACUAGACGAAUAGGUAACCAAGAGUUAGAGCUAAAACAGACAAACAGAGCUACUAUCCAAUGAGCUAAAACAUACAAACAGAGGUAUAUUUUAAUAAUGAAAAUAAUCGAUUGCCUUAAACACCAUAUAGUGUUCCAAUCAAUCAAAUUAUAGCAGGCAUUAAAACCUUUCCCUUUCGUUAAUUCACAACUAUUAGCUUCAUUAAUCAAAUCCUAUGUACAGUUGAUCGAUUGAAAGUGUAACAUUUCAAAGACGAAAUUUAAACGCAAAACUGGUUAACAUUGAAAUUACAUGUAAAUAUAACCUAAAAAAUCAAAAAAUUAAUCAUAUUUUCAGAUUUCAGGCCGAAAUGGAAUGAAAUGAAAGGUAAAUCCAUUUUUUCCCCAAAAAAACAAAAAUAAAGAAAUAAUAUUUCAAGAACAGAUCAUUAAAUUCAUGGUAUAUAUAAAGAAAUUUAAUUGAAAUCAAAGGAAUAGAAGAAGGGAAAAGCGUACUUGGAACCAUUGCUGCUACUCUCUGUUACUCUGUUACCUCAUACGAUUCGUUAAAGGGUUGUUAGGGUUUGUUAAAAGGUUGGUCAGGAUAGAAGCAUGAAAAGGAGGGAGAAGGUUGGAAGGAAAUGGGAAGAAAAAUGAAAAAAAGAAGAAGAUGCUGCAACGGCUUGGAGGGUAAAAGAGGACCGAUUAGGUAAUCCUUUCUUUUGGAAGGGAUUACAAAUCGGCGCUGCAUAAGGGAAAAUGGGGAAUCAGUGCGCUGCGUAAUAGGCCCGUAUUAAGGCAAUACAGCCAACCAAACAUGGUAAUCAGUGGGGCCACGAAUUAGGGGUGUAUUGGCUAAUCCAAUACACCCAACCAAACAUGCUCUAAAGGACAAAAAAAUUUGAUUUUUUAAAUAUUAUUUUCUCUCUAUUUUGCUAUCAUUUUACUAUUAUGUUGCUACUAUGUUAUUGUUAUUUUUGAAUAUUGUAUAAAACUUAUUUUAUUGUUAAUUUUGUUAUUAUUUUAAAGACAUUUGUUAAUUUUGUUAUUAUUUUAGAGACAUUUGUUUGUUAAGUUGCAUCUAUCUUAGUGUUAUUUAAGUAUACAUAUUUUUUAAAAUUUAUUUUCAAUUUAUUGGGAAAUAUUUAUUUUGAUGUUUUUAGUAUUUUGGAUGUAUUAUAUAUAUUAAAAUUAUAUAAAAAUUAAUAUGGCCGAGCCAGGUCAGGCCCAGAUUUUAGCAUUUUUAUUCAGGUCGGGCUUGAGCAAAAUUUUAAGCCCAUUUUUUGGGCCAAACCAGGCCUGGGCUUAGCAAAUGGGCCUAAAUUUUUAGUCAAGCUCGACCUAAACCCGAUCCGGCCCAUGCUCACCUCUAGAUCAGAGCUGCCCUCGCUUUGCAUUUCUUUGAGAUUCAGUCUUAUCUACUGUUGAUUGCCCACUCAAUGGAGGGUUGAGUAGAAAGAUUUGGUGAAGCAAGCUAAGCUAUCAAUCAAGGUUGGAGAAAGCUUAGGAGGUCACAAUGCAUAAUUAUUUAAAUGUAAUUCUAAUAUUUAAAUAAAAUUUAUUAAUAUAGUAUUAACAAGCCCUAAAUGUAAUGAUUAUAUACUAUUACAUUUUUAAGAAGAGAAAACAUGUUUGAACCUUAAAAACAUCAUUAUUAAAAAUGAUAAUUACAAAUUUUAAAAUAUAAAAAAUAUAAUUAAAAAUUAAUUUUAAACCCGAGCUGGAUAAAAUUCUAAUUUUAGAUAACGAUACUAAUAAGAAAUCAAUAUUAAAAUGAAAAUGAAAAGUAAUUUAAUAUAAUUUUUGAGUCUUGGGCAAAGGCACUCAAUGAAUGCUUGGAAAGAAAUAAUGCAACUUGGUGAUAGCUUUUGUUGGAGUAAUAUGCUCUUAUUAUAGUUUUAUGUUUUUAUCUUGCAAAAACAACAUAUUGGAGUUUUCGGCAUGAUUUUUUCUUAAUACUUUACAUGAAAAAUAAUAAUGGGACUUAAAUUGCUACAAUAUUACAACACAAAGUUACAAUAAGAGCUUAUAACUCAACAAAGGCUAUCAAUAAAUAAUCUCAGGCAAGCUAAAGAGAAAUGUUGAGAAUACCACCCGAAUAGUGACUGACUUUAAAAGUUGAAAACCCGAAGCUAUAUUAUCUCAAACGAAAUCAAACCAUAAACAUUAAAAUUUUCAAGUCUACUAGUUACUGUAAAAAAUUCAGCUCCAACAGACACCAAAUGAGCCUUUGAUCGAAGAAAGUACGAAAAAUAGUCUAGGUAAACCAAGCUUCCAAACUUACUUAUCUUAUCUUUAAUUUGCAGUGAAAUUCAAAAUUAAGAUUUUGUUUAUUUCACUUGGAACAACUUUCAAAAAAUUAUUUUUGAAAAAUGAAUUGGUUUUUCGAAAUAGAUGAUAUUUUAUUGUGUCAAAAUUUUAUUCAUUGUAGGAAAACUUUUUUUAAAUCAUUUUCUUAGAGUUAUUUUUAGUUAAAUAAACAUAACAUAAAUAUAUUUGUUACAAAAAAUUAUACUAGUAUUUUCUUUUGACAAUUAAAAUUUAUUUUAUGGUAAGACAAUAUUUUAUAAUAAUUAAUAUCAUAUAUAUACGUAAUAAAAAUCAUGUUUAAUUAAAAUUUAAUUAAAAUUAGAUGUAUUAAUAAAGCUACUCCUCCACAACCCGCAUCCGCAACAGCACCAGCACCAGCACCAGCACCAGCAUCAGCACCAUGGGACAACUAUUGGGUUUCCUCCACCUGCCUCUAUCGCUCCUCCUCAGUAUUACCCCCAAGCCUACCAGACCGUGCCGGGUAUUCUACAAAUAUGAAAAAACCUUCUUCUCUUUUUAUUAGCUUAUCGAAAUGAAGGAUUUUGAGAUUUGGGCUUUUGUUAGAUGGAUGGUUAAUGAUAUUUUUUAGAUGAAAGAUACAAGUUUUUUAAUGUUUUAGAAGAAAAGGUGUUUAAAUAUUAGGAGUUUUUUAGCAGAGAAAGAAGAUAAAUAAAUGCAUAGAGAUACAUUAGCAAUAUUAUUUGGAUUUGGUUGUCUAAUGUAAUGAAGAAUUUUUUAAGGGUGACCUGAGUAGGUGUGGCAAGAUUCAAAGUUUUUUCUAUUAUAGCAGAUAUAUAUAUAUUAAUGGUUUAAGAAGACUAGAAGUCGGUUUCAAAGGAAGAUGAGAAAUAAAAGCAUUUAUAUAUAUGAUAUGUCAUUAAUUCAUAAACCAAAUAUAUAAAGUAUGUAAAAGUGUCAGGGGUUAAUCAUGGUGUUUUGACAAUCCGGUAACCUUCAACUUGAAGAAAACCUUAGGUUUCAAAAAUUUAUGUGAAGAGUUAGAAUGGUAUGCUUCAUGGAUCUGAAUAACUAGAACAGUGUAAGAGUGGUAUAUUGUGUCAAGUUUGGUUUCUUGUAUAUAAUUGUAUCGAAAACAAUGUUACAUGAGUUAAAAUGAAUGUUCAUCCAAUUUAACAAAGCCUGCAUUAUGUUGAUCAAAAUUUUUAAUUCAUGUUGAGGUUUCUUCCGUGAUAUCUUUGAUGUCAAGGUUAUGAUGUUGCUGAAGGGACACCUGUAAGAGAUAAGCCACCGUGCUGUGGCAUUGGAUUCGGAUGGUUCUUGUAAGUGUACAUAGUUUUCUUUGUUUUUAAAGAGUUCUUUACAUAUGAAGUAAAACAAGUAGCGACUUGAUGGAUAUGUCAUUAAGCUUUAACUUAAGCAAAUCAUUUUCCUUCAUCUCUAAUUGCCAUUUCUUUAAAAGAAAAAGAGGAAGUUUUGUAGUUUACAGUUUGGACAAAUGGAAGUUAAUAUAAUGCACUAUUUGGAUGGACUAUGGAGAUAUCCAAUCAUAUUGGAUGAGUUAUAAGAAACCUGUGAGUUCAUAUUGGGUUUACUUUAUAUCAUAAUUAGAUUGUUGAGCUGGCUGUCAUACUUAGAUGGUAUUUCACGUUGCUACUUGUUAAACUAUACCACUUUCACAUUCAUACGUGAAAUGGCUGGGAUUUAGUGCCAUUCUACUUAGCAGCCUCGUGUAAUACACAGGUGAAAUGUUUAUGUCUUCAUGUCACCUUAAAGUUCCCAUUUCCAUGACGGUAUUGUUAAGUAAAGACUGGUACAUACCCCAAAAUACGGAAAUUGUUUUGGAUGUAUACUAUACUUUACCAUGCAUGAUUUUUUACAAGUUUGCAUGGUAUUUUAUCAUUAUAUUGGUCUUUAUUUUCUAUACUCGCAGCUUCCAUUAAUAUAUUUUUAUGAAUUUUAUCAUUAUGCUGGUUUGAAGGUUCAUCAUUGGUUUCUUCAUUGGGGGCCAUCCCUGGUAUAUUGGAUUCUUUGUUUUACUUUGUGCAAGGAUAGACGACAGAGAGAAAGCAGGAUAUAUUGCAUGCACAAUUGCCGUGAGUAUCUUUUCUAUCAUUAUUUUUUUCUUUUCCAAUUUUAUGAAAGCCAUCCUUCCUGCCUUGUAUUGAUCAUCAAUUUAACCAUUAUAUAUAUGUAUCUUAUGUAUUUGUACCAUGCUUUAUCUUCAAUGCAAAUAUAAGUUAAACUACAAAGAUUGGAUUGUUAAAAAAAGUUUAAAAUGUUAAAAAAAUUGAAAAUUUUGAUUUUGUAAGAAUGAUAGAAAACCAAGGCCAGUGCUUGCAUAUGUUAUCUACUACAUGCACAAUCGGGUCGAUGUCUGUAUAUGUUUCAUGUUUAGAAAUCGUGUUCAAUUGGGUUACGAUAUGUACAAUUGAAGUGUCAAUUUAUAAUUUCCUUAUCAAGAUUACACAUUUUUUUGUUAAUAUUCGGAAUCACUCAAUGGUUAUAAACCCUGAUUGGAUACUGUCCACAAAGUCUAGUUGGAACAUCCCUUGUAUUCUUUGUCCUUUCUAAGAACUUUCCUUUCCAUCAUUCUCGCUUCUGUUUUUUUUUUCUUCCCUCUACUUUAAGUCAUUAUCUAACGUAGAUAUCCCUUGUAUUCUUUGUCCUUUCUAUGGCAAUCGAGUCAAUUGAUGGCAAGCCAAAAAAACAAAAAGAGCAGCUAUCCUGUCUUACUCGAUUGCCAUCCCUCCUGUUAAACACCAUUAAGAAAAGGAAAAUUUUAGUUAAGCUUUAAAACAGCCAUGUUUUAACGAUGUUGGUGAUGGUGCUUGUGCAGGCCCUUCUUGCUACAAUUACAAUUAUUCUUAGUGCAACAAUUAAAGCUGGUGGGUGAUAAAGCACACCUCUUUUGACUGAGAGAUGUAUAGGUUCCCAAAUAAUAUGUAUAUGCUCCCCCCCCUCCCUUUAUUUUAUUUUAUUUCCAGUAAGUUAUUGUUUAUGAUAAUUUGCAACAAAUGUUUUUGUCAUUAUUUUGUUGGUGAAUGAUAAUAAGAUUAAGCUUUACUUUCUUAAGCUCCAAUUCCUUGGACGUUGGUGAUUUUUUUAUUAUAGUUGAGUCAUUGUAUGGUAUUAAUAUAAUUUAUGUCGCUUAAAAUUUAUAACUAAAAAUAUAAAAUUUAAAUUUUACUUCAAUUUAUUUGUAUUUAUAAAUGGUUAAUUCAAACUUAUUUUUUUCCUCAUUAUAUUUUAUAUUUAAAUUAACAUUUAAACUAUUUUUCAUUAGCAAUGUUGUUAAGAAUUAUAUUUUUUAGCACCAACAUCAAACUUACUAAAAUUAAAUUUUUAACUAUUUAAAAAAAAUAUUUUUAGCUAUUUAUCAUCAUAGAGAAAAAAAGGUGACGUCACCACGCCUCAUGCUUCGACACCACAAACUAGACUCUCAUCACCCGUAUUUAUCAUCGAUUCAAAUUCCAGAACUACCUAAAAAUAUAUCUUCAAACUUCCUCUGGUUAAGUUCAUUGAUAGUCAACUUACUAUCAUUUCUAAAAAAAAAACAAAUAAAUUGGUUAAUAGUAAUCUCAAUGAUUCAAUUUUAUUCUUACCAGUAUCUGUCCUUUAGAAAGGGGCUUAUAAAAGGGGUAGAGGUGAGUAAACUUGAGCUUCAGCUUUCCACAAACACCUUAAUUUGAAGACACAGUUCUCUCAUACUAAAAAAGACAUGGAAGUUUACCUUGUAAUUAGAGAUUUGGUUUCAUUGCUUGUUGUUGGGUUAUUAAUGAUAUGGGGAUGCAGAACUUUAAACUGGGUAUGGCUGGCCCCAAAAAGGCUCGAAAGCUGCUUGAGACAACAGGGUUUUGCAGGGAAUCCUUACAGGUUCCUUUCUGGUGACAUAAAAGAGCUCUCAACUAUGAGCAGACAAACAAGAGCCAAACCUAUGCCUCUUAGUGAUGAUAUUGGGCCUUAUGUUGUUCCUUUUCAACAUCAAACUGCUAACCAGUAUGGUAUGUUUUUUUUGUUUAAUCUGCAAUUUAUGAUAAUUCUUUGUUAUUUAUGUAUGGAAUUUAUUGGGAGGAAAUGCAGGAAAGAAUUCAUUUACGUGGUUUGGUCCAAGACCAAGGGUGAACAUUACGGACCCUGAAAAAAUAAGAGAAAUACUUAACAAAUUUAAUGACUUCCAGAAGAUACAUACCAAUCCACUGCUUAAUUUGCUUGUAAGCGGCCUUGCUAACCUCGACGGAGACCGAUGGAGCAAGCGUAGAAAAAUCAUAAACCCUGCAUUUCAUCAAGAUAAGUUGAAGGUAUAGAAUAGUGAUGGGUAAUCAGACUUUACAGAAAACAUCAUACUUAAACCUAUGCUUUUCUGAUUUAGAAAUAAUUGGAUGCAGAAUAUGUUGCCAGCAUUUUAUCAAAGUUGUAGUGACAUGUUAAGCAAAUGGGAGAAGAUGGUGUGUACAAAAGGAUACAGUGAGUUAGAUGUGUGGCCUUAUCUCGUAGAUUUGACAAGAGAUGUGAUUUCCCGAUCUGCUUUUGGAAGCAGCUUCGAAGAAGGCAAACGAAUUUUCCAAUUACUAGAGGACCAACUCGUUCACAUAAUCAAAUUAAUACAAACUGUUUACAUUCCAGGAUGGAGGUAACCGUCAACUUAAUUUACUUGAAAAAGGUUGCAAAUGUUGGAAUUCGCUAAAUUCGUGUUUGUUUUCUUGAAGGUUUUUGCCAACGAAGACAAACAGGGAGAUGAAGAUGAAACACAGGGACAUAAAAGAGUUGCUUAUGGAAAUGAUAAAGAGAAGGGAGAAGGCAAUUAAAGCAGGGGAAGAGAGCAAUGAGGACUUGUUGGACAUACUUGUGGAAUCCAAUAUCAGAGAAAUGGAAGCAAAGAAUAUUGGGAUGAGCAUUGAGGAUGUGAUUGAGGAAUGCAAGCUGUUUUACUUAGCUGGCCAAGAGACCACUUCGGUCUUACUGGUGUGGACUAUGGUUUUAUUAGCAAGGUAUCCCGAUUGGCAAAGUAAAGCAAGAGAGGAGGUUUUGCAUGUUUUGGGUGACAGUAAACCUGACGCUGAUGGCCUUAAUCGUCUCAAAGUUGUAAGUCCCUAGCAUGUCUUUUGAAGGUCCGAUCAAUGAGGUCGACAACUCAAAAACUUUGUUUCUUUUUUCGCUAAUUCUACAGGUAACAAUGAUAUUGUACGAGGUUCUAAGGCUGUACCCACCGGUGGUUGAGCUAGAACGUUCCGUUCCAAAAGAAAUAAAACUGGGGAAUUUGUUGUUACCAGUAGGAACAGAAGUUUCGGUUCCGAUCCUGCUGAUCCACCAUGACAAAGAUCUUUGGGGCGAUGACGCACGGGAAUUUAAGCCAGAGCGGUUCGCGGAAGGGGUUUCCAAAGCAACAAAGAGUCAAGUCACGUUUCUGCCAUUCGGAUGGGGUCCUAGGAUCUGUAUUGGCCAAAAUUUUGCUAUGAUGGAAGCCAAAAUGGCGAUGGCUAUGAUUCUCCAACGCUUCUGGUUCGAGCUUUCCCCUUCCUAUGCUCACUCUCCUUACGGCAGGGCAACUCUUCGUCCACAGCAUGGUGCACAGAUAAUUUUACAUAAACUUGGCUGUAAUUGAAUUGUUAUGUAAACAAAUCUUUGUGAAAACAUAGCGUUUUAGUUUAUCGUCAAAGUCCGGUGUCUGUAAUGGUACAAAUUCGAUGCAUGAAUAGUAAAGUUUGAGAUGUUUGGUGAAGUCCGAAAUAAUAUGCAGAAAUUGAGUGUGGUAAUUAUCAAUCAAAUAAUUCGGUACAAAGACUUACAUGGAAAUUAAAGCAGGGGGAGUUGAAAAUGACUACUCUGCUUUGGGCAUCAAUUUAGAAAGAUUUAAAGUACAAAUGUGUUAUUAGUUAAGGGAUUUGUUUUAAAGAGGGAAUGACAAUUAAACCUCAUGGUUGAUUUGUGGAAGGGAACCGAUGAUGGGAUGAUUAUUCUUAGUGGUAAAAAAAACUAUUGUGGAGGUUAUUAUACUUGUUAUCAUCGGCUUAAAAUUCGAAUGGGUUCAAGUCGGAUUAUAUCGAGCUUGUAAGAUGAGUUCACGGAUCAAAUUUGCAUAAUAAAAAUACUUAAAUGAAAAAAAUUUCUAUUUUAGAGGGACCAGAGCCCCUACCAAUUCCCGGCUCAGCUACUAAACAAUACCCAUAUCAUAUAAAUAAAUACCACCAUAAAAAAAACUCAAAGAAAAACACUGACAAAUGAUAAAUAGAUAGAUGUUGGAUAAGUGUCCAAAAUAUGAUUUAAGUGAAGAUACAUGGGGUAGGUGUCACGGAAAUGUGAAUACAAGAAUACUACUAAUGGGAUGUGUACAGUUGAAUGUAGGGAGCAAAAAGAGGAGUGAAUCAUUUUGGUAACAUUGGGACAAGAAACAUAAUGAACAAAAUGGAAGGAGAGGAAGCUAGUAAAAGAAAUUUUUUGGGUCAUAUAAUUUGUUUGGCAUAUAUUUUUAUAAUUUUUAAAUAUCAUUUUGGACUUGAAUUAUAAUUUUUUUAUAUAUUAUCUUAAAAUUGUAUAAAUUUUAAGGAGUUAAAACAAAAUUAUUCUAUUUUUAGAUGGUUAAAGUAGAGAUGAUAAUGGGUUGAGCUAUUCGGCCCAGCCUGACGAUCCACCCGAAAAAUAGGAAGGUUUGGGUAAAAAUAUAGGCUUGAAAUAUGAAUUUGAGCAAAAAAAGAGGCCCGUUUAGAAAAUGGGCCGAGCCUCGGGUAAAACCUUUUGGGUCUAGACCUGACCUAAAUUAUAUAUUAAAUAUAUAUAUUUUUAUUUUUAAUCAAAUAUACUUUUGUUUUAUUAUUAAUUUGGUUAUUAUUUUAGUUCUAAUUUGUUUCAAUUUUAAUAUAACUACUUUUUAUUAUAUUUUCAAUUUGUGCAUUGUUUUAAGAAUUAUUUUAGUCUCAUUAUUUAUUUAUUUUUUAUUUUAAUAUUUGUUUUAAAAUUUUUUAUUUAUUGAAAUAAGCUAAAAAAAUUAAUAUGGGUUGGACCAGACCGGGCUCGGGCCUAGUAAUUUUCUUUUGGGCCGGACUUAAACAAAUUUUUAAGCCCAUAUUUUGAAUUGGGUCCUACACUAGAAAAUGGACCUAAAAUUUUGUAUUACCUUUAGGUCAGAGCUAUCCUCGUUUUGCAUUUCUUUGAGAUUCAGCCUUAUUUACUUUUGAUUGCCCACUCAAUAGAGGGUUGAGUAGAAAUAUUUGGUGAAGCAAGCUAAGCUAUCAAUCAAGGUGUGCAUAAUUAUUUAAAUGUAAUUCUAAUAUUAAAAUAAAAUUUUUAUUAAUAUAGUAUCAACAAGCAUUAAAUGUAAUCAUCAUAUACUAUUAAAUUUUCAAUAAGAGAAAACAAGCUUGAACUUUAAAAACGAUGUUACUAAAAACAUUAUCACAAAUCUUGAAAUAUAAAAAAUACUUUUUAAUAUAAUAAAAAAAUAAUUUUAAAACCGAGAUGAAUAAAAUUCUAAUUUUAAUUAAUGAUACCAACAACAAAUCAAUAUUUAAAUUAAAAUUUAUCUUAAUUUAAUAUAAUAAAAUUGGACUUGAAUAUUGAAUUUUUGAGUCUUGGGCAAAGUAGAGGUGCUCAUGGGCCGGGUUGGGUCGGGUUUGGGAAAAAUUUCGGCCCGCAUCCUAGGCUCGGGCUCGGCCCGACCCAAAUAUGGGCCUAAAAUUUUGUCUAGGCCUAGCCCGGCCCGGCCCAACUCAUUUUUUUUAAUAAACACCAAAAAUUUAUUUUGAAAAUAAAAAAAUAAAAAAAGUAUUUUAAAAAUAUUUUAAAAUUUUUAAAAAAUAUAUAUAUUUAUUAUAUAUUCGGGCCGGGCCAGGCCCGAGCCAAAAAAGUGGCGCCCAAGGCCCGGCCUGUUUUCUAAACGGGACUCAUUUUUUACCCAAACCCAUAUUUCGGGCCUAUAUUUCUACCCGAAUCUCUCAUAUUUAGGGCGAACCGUCGGGCCGGACCGGGCCGCCCGGCCAUGAACACCUCUAGGACAAAGUCACUCAAUGAAUGCAUGGAAAGAAAUAAUGCAACUUGGUGAUAGCUUUUGUUGGAGUUAUAUGCUUUUUUUUUACGUAGUGGAACUUUCGGUGGAUUUUCAAGUUUCAUGAACUUUAUACUCUAUGCUUUACGUGAAAAAAAAAAUUCAUUGGACUUAAAAGUCUACCAAAAGUUUCACUAAAAAAAAAACCAUUGCUACAAGAUUACAACAUAAAGUUACAAUAAGAGCUUAUAACUCAACAAAGGCUAUCAAUAAAUAAUCUCAAACAAAUUAAAGAGAAAUGUUGAGAGUACCACUCGAAUAGUGAUUAACUUUAAAAAUUGAAAACCCAAAGUUAUAAUAUCCCAAACGAAAUCAAACCAUAAACAUUAAAUUUUUCGAGUCUACUAGAUACUGCAAAAAAUUCAGCUCCAACAGACACCAAAUGAACCUAUGAUCGAAGAAAAUACGAAAACUAGUCUAGCUAAAUCAAGCUGCCAAACUUACUUUUUAUCUUAUCUUUAAUUUGCUGUGAAAUUCAAAACUAAGGUUUUGUACUUAGAACAACUUUCAAAAAGUUAAUUUUGAAAAAUGGAUUGAAUUUUCAAAAUAGAUGAUAUUUUAUUGUGUUAAAAUUUUAUUCGUUGUUUGAAAAAAAAUUUAAAUCAUUUUCUUAGAAUUAUUUUUAGUGAAACAAACAUAUCAUAAAUAUAUUUGUUAUAAAAUAUUUAUAUUAAUAUUUUCUUUUAACAAUUAAAAUAUAUUUUGUGAUAAGGUAUAUUUUAUAAUAAUUAAUAUCAUAUAUACUUAAUAAUAAAUCAUGUCUAAUUAAAAUUUAAUUUCAAUUAAAUAUAUUAAUAAAGCUACAUAUAAUCAUAUUUUAUAUAAUAAAAAUAUUAAUAUAAAUAUUUUUUUAAUAAUAUAUUAAAGAAUAUUUAAAAUUUAAAUUUAUUAUUACUAAGAUUAAUUAUUAAAAUAAAAAUGUAAUGUUAAAUAAUUUAUCCAAUGAUAAGUUAUAUUAAUAAUUUAUUAUAUUAUUAAAUAUAAAUAAUUAAAUAUGUAUGUUUAAUAAUAUUAUGUUAUAAUAUUUAUUAUUAAUAUUUUAAUAUUUUUAAACAACCAUGUUUUAAAGAUGGUGGUGAUGGUGAUGGUGCAGGCCCCCUUGUUACAAUUACAAUAUUUUUAAGUGGGAUGCAUGUAAUAUAUUGUUAGGGUUUUAGAGUGUGUGGUCUUUAAAAGGGUUAAAUUAUAUAUUUAUAUAAUAUGAUUAUUGUUUAUAAAUAUAAUAUUGUAGAUAAACUUUUAUGCAUGUCAAUAUGUAUCCUACUCUGGGGUUAAUAUGUAUUUUUAGAUAUGGAUUCACCUAUAUAAUAGUAUGAAUCCAUCAUGCGGUCUCAUGAAAUAUACAAACACAUAUCGUGCGAACACAAAGUACGAACAAUAAAAAGUACAAAUCAAGACCAAUUGAGUAAUUGAAUAGCAGAUAGGUAAUAAUGACUAUCCCCUCUUGUUUGAAUUUAUUUUAUUUCCAGUGAGUUAUCGUUUAUGAUAAAUUUACAACAAAUGUUUUUAUCAUUAUUUUGUUGGUAAAUGAUAAUAAGAUUAAACUUUACUUUCUUAAGCUCCUUCAAUUCUUUGGACGUUAGCAAGUAAACUUGAGCUUCAGCAUUCCACAAACACCUUAAUUUGAAGACACAGUUCUCCCAUACUAAAAACAACAUGGACGUUUACCUUGUAAUUAGAGAUUUGGGCUCAUUGUUAGGUUAUUAAUGAUACGGGGAUGGAGAGCUUUAAACUGGGUAUGGCUGGCCCCAAAGAGGCUCGAAACGUGCUUGAGACUAGAGGUCCAGGCAAAUUUUUAGGCCCAUUUUUUAGGCCUGGACUGGGCCCGACUCGAAAUAUGAGCUUAAAAAUUUGUCUAAGUUCGGUCCAAAAGAAAAUUGUUAAGCCUAAGCCCGGCCCAUAUUAAAUUUUACAACACCAAAAAACUAUAUAUUUAAUAUAUAUAUUUGAUUAAAAAGUAUAUUUAAUUAAAAAUAAAAAUAUAUAUUUAAUAUAUAAUUCGGGCCGGGCCGAACUCGGGCCAAAAAAGUUUUACUCGGGGCUGGUCCGUUUUCUAAACAGACCUCGUUUUUUUGUCAAAAUCCAUAUUUUAGGCUUAUAUUUUUACCCGAAACUUCCUAUUUUUCGGGUGAACCGUCAGGCCGGACUAGGUAGCCCAACCAAUGAUCACCUCUACUUGAGACAACAGGGUUUUGCAGGGAAUUCUUACAGGUUCGUUUCUGGCGACAUAAAAGAGCUCUUCACUAUAAGCAUACAAACAAGAGCCAAACCUAUGCCUCUUAGUGAUGAUAUUGGGCCUUAUGUUGUUCCUUUUCAACAUCAAACCGUCAAUCAGUAUGGUAUGUUUUUUAAUUUAAUCUGCAAUUUAUGAUAAUUCUUUGCUAUUUAUGUAUGGAAUUUAUUGGGAGGAAAUGCUGGGAAGAAUUCAUUUACGUGGAUUGGUCCAAGAUCAAGGGUGAACAUUACGGACCCGGAAAAAUAAGAGAAAUACUUAACAAAUUUAAUGACUUCCAGAAGGUACGUACCAAUCCACUGCUUAAUUUGCUUGUAAGCGGCCUUGUUAACCUCGAAGGAGACCGAUGGAGCAAGCAUAGAAAAAUCAUAACCCUUCAUUUCAUCAAGAUAAGUUGAAGGUAUAGAAUAGUGAUGGGUACUUAGACUUAAUUUACAGAAAACAUCAUACUUAAAUCUAUGCUUUUCUGAUUUAGAAAUGAUUGGAUGCAGAAUAUGUUGCCAGCAUUUUAUCAAAGUUGUUGUGACAUGUUAAGCAAAUGGGAGAAGAUGGUGUGUACAGAAGGAUACAGUGAGUUAGAUGUGUGGCCUUAUCUUGUAGAUUUGACAAGAGAUGUGAUUUCCCGAUCUGCUUUUGGAAGCAGCUUCGAAGAAGGCAGACGAAUUUUCCAAUUACUAGAGGACCAACUCGUUCUCACAAUCAAAUUAAUACAAACUGUUUACAUUCCAGGAUGGAGGUAACCCUCAACUUAAUUUACUUGAAAAAGGUUGCAAAUGUUGGAAUUGGCUAAAUUCGUGUUUGUUUUCUUGAAGGUUUUUGCCAACAAAGACAAACAGGGAGAUGAAGAUGAAACACAGACAUAAAAGAGUCGCUUAGGGAAAUGAUAAAGAGAAGGGAGAAGGCAAUUAAAGCAGGGGAAGAGAGCAAUGAGGACUUGUUGGACAUACUUGUGGAAUCCAAUAUCAGAGAAAUGGAAGCAAAGAAAAAGGGGAUGAGCAUUGAGGAUGUGAUUGAGGAAUGCAAGCUGUUUUACUUUGCUGGCCAGGAGACCACUUCGGUCUUGCUGGUGUGGACUAUGGUUUUAUUAGCAAGGUAUCCCGAUUGGCAAAGUAAAGCAAGAGAGGAGGUUUUGCAUGUUUUGGGUGACAGUAAACCUGAUGCUGAUGGCCUUAAUCGUCUCAAAGUUGUAAGUCCCUAGCAUGUCUCUUGAAGGUCCGAUCUCUGAGGUCGACAACUCAAAAACUUGGUUUCUUUGUUUCGCUAAUUCUACAGUUAACAAUGAUAUUGUACGAGGUUCUAAGGCUGUACCCACCAGUGAUUGAGCUAGGACGUUCCGUUCCAAAAGAAAUAAAACUGGGAAAUUUGUUGUUACCAGCAGGAACAGACGUUUCGGUUCCAAUCCUGCAGAUCCACCAUGACAAAGAUCUUUAGGGCGACGACGCACGGGAAUUUAAGCCACAGCGGUUCACGGAAGGGGUUUCCUAAGCAACAAAGAGUCAAGUCACGUUUCUGCCAUUCGGAUGGGGUCCUAGGAUCUGCAUUGGCCAAAACUUUGCCAUGAUGGGAACCAAAAUGGCGAUGGCUAUGAUUCUCCAACGCUUCUGGUUCGAGCUUUCCUCUUCCUAUGCUUACUCUCCUUACAACAUGGCAACUCUUCGUCCACAGCAUGGUGCACAGAUAAUUUUACAAAAACUUGGCUGUAAUUGAAUUGUUAUGUAAACAAAUCUUUGUGAAAAUAUAGUGUUUUAGUGUAUCGUCAAAGUCUGCCUGUAAUGGUACAAUUCCGAUGCAUGAAUAGUAAAUCUUGAGAUGUUUGGUGAAGUCCGAAAUAAUAUGCAGAAAUUGAGUGUCUUGAAUGGAUGUAGUAUUUAAUGGUGGACAUAGUUGAGGGACUAAUGUGGUAAUUAUCAAACAAAUAAUUGCAUAUGGUACAAAGACUUGUAUGGAAAUUAGAGCAGGGCGAGUUGAAAAUUACUACUUUGCUUCGGGCAUCAAUUUAGAAAGAUUUAAAGUACAAAUGUAUUAUUAGUUUAAGGGAUUUGUUUUAAAGAAGGAAUGACAAUUAAACCUCAUGGUUGAUGUGUGGAAGGGAACCAAUGAUGGGAUGAUUACUCUUAGUGGUAAAAAAAAAAACUAUUAAGGUGGUUAUUAUAGUUGUUAUCACCGGCCCAAAAUUCGAAUAGGUUCAGGUCGGAUUAUAUUGAGCUUGUAGAUGAGUUUGCAUGAUAAUAGGUGUUCACAGAAAGAUAUCUAUAGUUUCCUACAAAGUCACAUGUGAGAUCGUGCAUUGGGACCGCAUAAAAAUGUUUUAUGUUUAGAAUAUGAUACGUGUCUAUGUGUAUGGAAUCUACCUAAUAUAUCAUAUUAAUUAAUAGUAUCAAUUGCGGAGCCAAAAAAUUAUUUCUGAGGGGUCAGAAUUAAAUUGUAUAUUUUUACAAAAAUAAAAAUUAAAUUUCACUAUUUUAAUAGUUUAUUUCUUUUUAAUUUUUAAAUGAUUAAAUUAAAUUUUUAUAAAUUUUUGGGAUCAAAGUACAAUUUUAUCAUUUCUAAUUUAAAAUUUUAUAAAAUAUAAAAAGUUUAUAUGAAAAGUUUUCUAUUUUAGAGUGGCCAAAGCCCCUGCCAACUUCCGACUCGAUCACUAAACAAUAUAAAUAAAUAAAUACCACCAUCUAAAAGACUCAAGAAAAACACUCAACGAUAAAUAGAUAGAUGUUGGGUAAAGAUACGUUUGGAUGGGCGGUGCGUUUACUUGCGGUUAGUAUAAAAAUAGCGGUGGCGGUUAGAUUAGAUACUAUAGCAACACUGUAGCGUAAGACAAAAAAUAAGCUAAACGUACUGCACUGCACUUAAUCGCCCAUCCAAACUCACCCUAAGUGUACAAAAUAUGAUUUAAGUGAAGAUACGUAGGGUAGGUGUCAUGGAAAUGUAAAAGACAAGAAUCCCACUAAUGUAUGGGAUGUGUACAGCUGAAUGUAGGGAGCAAAGAGGAGUGAAUCAUUUUGGUAACAUUUGGACAAGAAACAUAAUGAACAAAAUGAAAGGAGAGGAAGCUAGUAAAAGAUUUUUUUGAGUUAUAUAAUUUGUUUGGCAUAUAUUUUUAUAAUUUUUAAAUAUCAUUUUGGAGUUGAAUUAUAAUUUCUUUUUAUGUUUUAAAACAUAAUUAUUCUAUCUUCAAAGGGUUAGAGUAGAGGUGAGCAUGGGUCGGGCUACUCGGCCCGAAAUGUGAGAGAUUUGGGCAAAAAUAUAGGCUCAAAAAAUGGACUUGGACAAAAAAAUAUAAGACCCGUUGAAAAAUGGGCCGGGCAUUGGGUAAGGCAUUUUUGGCCCUGGGCCCGGCCCAAUCCUAAUUCACUAAAGGACAAAAAAAAUUUGAUUUUUAAAUAUUAUUUUCUUCCUAUUUUGCUACCAUUUUACUAUUAUGUUGCUACUAUUUUGUUGUUAUUUUUUGGAUAUUGUAUAAAACUUAUUUUAUUGUUAAUUUUGUUAUUAUUUUAAAGACAUUUGUUAAUUUUGUUAUUAUUUUAGAGACAUUUGCUUGUUAAGUUGUAUCUAUCUUAGUGUUAUUUAAGUGUACAUAUUUUUUAAAAUUUAUUUUCAAUUUAUUGGGAAAUAUUUAUUUUGAUGUUUUUAGUAUUUUGGAUGUAUUAUAUAUAUUAAAAUUAUAUAAAAAUUAAUAUGGCCGAGCCGAGUCAGGCCCAGAUUUUAGCAUUUUUAUUCAGGUCGGGCUUGAGCAAAAUUUUAAGCCCAUUUUUUGGGCCAAACCAGGCCUGGGCUUAGCAAAUGGGCCUAAAUUUUUAGUCAAGCCCGACCUAAACCCGAUCCGGCCCAUGCUCACCUCUAGAUCAGAGCUGCCCUCGCUUUGCAUUUCUUUGAGAUUCAGUCUUAUCUACUGUUGAUUGCCCACUCAAUGGAGGGUUGAGUAGAAAGAUUUGGUGAAGCAAGCUAAGCUAUCAAUCAAGGUUGGAGAAAGCUUAGGAGGUCACAAUGCAUAAUUAUUUAAAUGUAAUUCUAAUAUUUAAAUAAAAUUUAUUAAUAUAGUAUUAACAAGCCCUAAAUGUAAUGAGUAUAUACUAUUACAUUUUUAAGAAGAGAAAACAUGUUUGAACCUUAAAAACAUCAUUAUUAAAAAUGAUAAUUACAAAUUUUAAAAUAUAAAAAAUAUAAUUAAAAAUUAAUUUUAAACCCGAGCUGGAUAAAAUUCUAAUUUUAGAUAACGAUACUAAUAAGAAAUCAAUAUUAAAAUGAAAAUGAAAAGUAAUUUAAUAUAAUUUUUGAGUCUUGGGCAAAGGCACUCAAUGAAUGCUUGGAAAGAAAUAAUGCAACUUGGUGAUAGCUUUUGUUGGAGUAGUAUGCUCUUAUUAUAGUUUUAUGUUUUUAUCUUGCAAAAACAACAUAUUGGAGUUUUCGGCAUGAUUUUUUCUUAAUACUUUACAUGAAAAAUAAUAAUGGGACUUAAAAAUCUAUCAAAAGCUUCACCAUAAUAAUAAUAAUAAUAAUAAUAAUAAUAAAUUGCUACAAUAUUACAACACAAAGUUACAAUAAGAGCUUAUAACUCAACAAAGGUUAUCAAUAAAUAAUCUCAGGCAAGCUAAAGAGAAAUGUUGAGAAUACCACCCGAAUAGUGACUGACUUUAAAAGUUGAAAACCCGAAGCUAUAGUAUCUCAAACGAAAUCAAACCAUUAACAUUAAAAUUUUCAAGUCUACUAGCUACUGUAAAAAAUGCAGCUCCAACAUACACCAAAUGAGUCUUUGAUCGAAGAAAGUACAAAAACUAGUCUGGGUAAACCAAGCUGCCAAACUUACUUAUCUUAUCUUUAAUUUUGCAGUGAAAUUAAAAAUUAAGUUUUUGUUUAUUUCACUUGGAACAACUUUCAAAAAAUUAUUUUUGAAAAAUGGAUUGGUUUUUCGAAAUAGAUGAUAUUUUAUUGUGUUAAAAUUUUAUUCGUUGUUGGAAAACUUUUUUUAAAUCAUUUUCUUAAAGUUAUUUUUAGUGAAACAAACAUAACAUAAAUAUAUUUGUUACAAAAAAAUUAUAUUAGUAUUUUCUUUUGACAAUUAAAAUUUAUUUUAUGAUAAGACAAUAUUUUGUAAUAAUUAAUAUCAUAUAUAUAUACGUAAUAAAAAAAUCUUGUUUAAUUAAAAUUUAAUUAAAAUUAAAUAUAUUAAUAAAGCUACAUAUAAUCAUAUUUUUUAUAAUUAAAAUAUUAAUAUAAAUAUUUUUCAAUAAUAUAUUAAAAUAUUAAAAUUUAAAUUAUUAUUACUUAAAUUAAUUAUUAAAAUAAAAAAUUUAAUAUUAAAUAAUUUAUUCAAUGAUAAGUUUUAUUAAUAAUUUAUUGUAUUAUUAAAUAUAAUUAAUUAAAUAUGCAUAUUUAAUAAUAUUACGUUAUAAUAUUUUAAUAUUCUUAAACAGCCAUGUUUUUAAGAUGCUGGUGAUGGUGAUGCUGCGGGCCUCUCUUGUUACAAUUACUAUAAUUUUUUGUGCAAUAAUUGAAGUUGUUGGGUGGUCAAGCAAACCUCUUUUGACUGAGAUGCAUAUAAUAUACCCGCAUGUCCCCGCCUCCUAAAAUUUAAAUUUGUUAUUUGAAUCUUUAAAUUUUUUAAUAUAAUAUACCCGCAUGUCCCCGCCUCCUAAAAUUUAAAUUUGUUAUUUGAAUCUUUAAAUUUUUUAAAAAUUUUAAAUUCAUAAAAGUAAAAUUAUACUUUGACCCUCUAAAAUUAUAAAAAUUUAAUUAAUCUUUUAAAUUCAUUGGGCCCCUAAUAUAUUGUUCAGGCUUCACCCUUGAUACUGAUGUUGACUAUUUUAGAGUAUGUGUCUUCUUUAACAGGGUUAAAUUAUAUAUUUAUAUAAUAUAGUUAUUGUUUAUGGACGUGACAUCGUAACUAGGUUCUUAUGCAUGUCAACAUAUAUCCUAUUUUAAGGUUAACACGUAUUUUUAAAUGUGAAUUCACCUAUAUAAUGGUAUGAACCAUCAUGCAGUCUCAUAAAAUAUGCGAAUAUAUGUCGUGCGAACACAAAGUACAAUCCACACAGAAUACGAAUUAAGACCCAAUUGAAUAAUCGGAUACGAAUCAGUAAUAAUGAAUUUCAUAACAGCCACCAACCCCUCUUUUGUUUUAAUUUAUUUUAUUUCCAGUAAGUUAUUGUUUGUGAGAAUUCACAACAAAUGCUUUUGUCAUUAUUUUGUUGGUAAAUAAUAAUAAGAUUAAACUUUACUUUCUUAAGCUCCUUCAAUUCUUUGGAAGUUGGUGGUUUUUUAUUCUAAUCUUAUUUUUUUUAUUAAUUUCUUUUUUUAUAAUAAAUGUGUUUAUAGAUCAGGUUGGAUUAUAAUUGAAUCAUUGUCUGGUAUUAACAUAAUUUAAAUCGAUUAAAAUUUAUUCGACUGGAAAUAUAAAUUUAAAAUUUUACUUCAAUUUAUCUUAAUUUAUAAAUUGUGAAUUUAAAUUUAUUUAUUUUCUCUCAUUAUAUUCAGUUUUUCGGAUCAUAUUUGGCCCAGAACAAAAACUAGAACAAAAAAACAAAUAUAUAUGUUUUCCAAAAAUUAAAUUGUUAACUUUAAAAAAAUAUAUUUUUAGCUAUUUAUCAUCAUAGAGAAAAACAAAUAAGGUCACCUCGCCUUAUGCUUCAACACCUCAACCUAGAUUCUCAUCACCUGUAUUUAUCAUCGAUUCAGAUUUUUAUUUUUACUAUAUUCUAGAUCUACCUAUAAAUAUAUCUUCAAACUUCCUCUGGUUAAGUUCAUUCAUAGAUAGGUGAGUAAACUUGAGCUUCAGCUUCAACAAACACCUUAGUUUGCAAUUCUCUCAUACUAAAAAUAUGGAAGUUUACCAUGUAAUUAGAGAUUUGGUCUCAUUGCUUGUUGUUGGUUUAUUAAUGAUAUGGGGAUGGAGAGCUUUAAACUGGGUAUGGUUGGCCCCAAAGAGGCUCGAAAGGUGCUUGAGACAACAGGGUUUUGCAGGGAAUCCUUACAGGUUCCUUUCUGGUGACAUAAAAGAGCUCUUAACUAUGAGCAGACAAACAAGAGCCAAACCUAUGCCUCUUAGUGAUGAUAUUGGGCCUUAUGUUGCUCCUUUUCUUCAUCAAACUGUCAACCAGUAUGGUAUGUUUAAUUAUUAUUUAAUCUUCAAUUUAUGAUAAUUCUUUGUUAUUUAUGAAUGGAAUUUAUUGGGAGGAAAUGCAGGAAAGAAUUCAUUUACGUGGAUUGGUCCAAGACAAAGGGUGAACAUUAUGGACCCUGAAAAAAUAAGAGAAAUAUUUACCAAAUUUAAUGACUUCCAGAAGGUGCGUACCAAUCCACUGCUUACUUUGCUUGUAAGCGGCCUUGUUAACCUCGAAGGAGACCGAUGGAGCAAACAUAGAAAAAUCAUAAACCCUUCAUUUCAUCAAGAUAAGUUGAAGGUAUAGAAUAGUGAUGGGUACUUAAGACUUAAUUUACAGAAAACAUGAUACUUAAAUCUAUGCUUUUCUGAUUUAGAAAUGAUUGGAUGCAGAAUAUGUUGCCAGCAUUUUAUCAAAGUUGUUGUGACAUGUUAAGCAAAUGGGAGAAGAUGGUGUGUACAGAAGGAUACAGUGAGUUAGAUGUGUGGCCUUAUCUUGUAGAUUUGACAAGAGAUGUGAUUUCCCGAUCUGCUUUUGGAAGCAGCUUCGAAGAAGGCAGACGAAUUUUCCAAUUACUAGAUGACCAACUCGUUCUCAGAAUCAAAUUACUACAAACUGUUUACAUUCCAGGAUGGAGGUAACCCUCAAUUUACUUGAAAAAGGUUGCAAAUGUUGGAAUUGGCUAAAUUCGUGUUUGUUUCCUUGAAGGUUUUUGCCCACAAAGACAAACAGGGAGGUGAAGAUGAAACACAAAGACAUAAAAGAGUCGCUCAGGGAAAUGAUAAAAAGAAGAGAGCAGGCAAUUAAAGCAGGGGAAGAGAGCAAUGAGGACUUGUUGGACAUACUUGUGGAAUCCAAUAUCAGAGAAAUGGAAGCAAAGAAAAAGGGGAUGAGCAUUGAGGAUGUGAUUGAGGAAUGCAAGCUGUUUUACUUUGCUGGCCAGGAGACCACUUCGGUCUUACUGGUGUGGACUAUGGUUUUAUUAGCAAGGUAUCCCGAUUGGCAAAGUAAAGCAAGAGAGGAGGUUUUGCAUGUUUUGGGUGACAGUAAACCUGAUGCUGAUGGCCUUAAUCGCCUCAAAGUUGUAAGUCCCUAGCAUGUCUUUUGAAGGUCCGAUCAAUAAGGUCGACAACUCAAAAAUUUGGUUUCUUUUUUCGCUAAUUCUACAGUUAACAAUGAUAUUGUACGAGGUUCUAAGGCUGUACCCAUCAGCGACUGAGCUAGGACGUUCCGUUCCAAAAGAAAUAAAACUGGGAAAUUUGUUGUUACCAGCAGGAACAGAAAUUUCGGUUCCGAUCCUGCUGAUCCACCAUGACAAAGAUCUUUGGGGCGAUGACGCACGGGAAUUUAAGCCAGAGCGGUUCGCGGAAGGGGUUUCCAAAGCAACAAAGAGUCAAGUCACGUUUCUGCCAUUCGGAUGGGGUCCUAGGAUCUGCAUUGCCCAGAAUUUUGCUAUGAUGGAAGCCAAAAUGGCGGUGGCCAUGAUUCUCCAACGCUUCUGGUUCGAGCUUUCCCCUUCCUAUGCUCACUCUCCUUGCAGCAUGGUAACGCUUCGUCCACAGCAUGGUGCACAGAUUAUUUUACAUAAACUUGGCUCUAAUUGAGUAGUUAUGUAAACAAAUCAUUGUGAAAAUAGUGUUUUAACGUAUCGUAAAAACUCCGGUGUCUGUAAUGGAACAAUUCCGAUGCAUGGAUAGUAAAUUUUGUGAUGUUUGGUGAAGUCCGAAAUAAUAUGCAGAACUUGAGUGUCCUGAAUGGAUGUAGUAUUUAAUGGUGGACAUAGUUGAGGGACUAAUGUGGGAAUUAUCAAACAAAGAAUUGCAUAUGGUACAAAGACUUGUAUGGAAAUUAGAGCAGGGGGAGUAGAAAAUGACUACUUCUACGGGCAUCAAUUGAGAAAGAUUUCCGGUGCAAAUGUUAGCAAAUUUUUGAGCUUCAGCCUUAAACAUUAGCAAGAUUGCAAUACCGGGAUUAUCUAGUGUUGGUUGCCCACUCAAUUGAGGGUUAAGUUGAAGGAUUUGUUGAAGCAAGCUAAGCUAUCAAUCAAGGUUGGAGCAAGCUUAGGAGGUCACAAUACAUCAUUAUUGCAUAAUUAUUUAAAUGAAAUUUAAUAUUUAAAUAAAAAAUAUUAAUAUAGUACCAACAAUAUUCCAUUUCUUUUAACCAAGUGUUUCUAGAUUAUGAAAUUCAUUAAUGAUUUGUAAAAUAUAUUGAUGCGAUCCCGGCCGCAUCAUGUUUCGAUACAACUCGAUGACCUCAGAAUUGACCUAAACUCUAGGGGCCCAAGUGCAAAAUGAAGCUUAAUUUCAGCUCAAUGAGCUCAAUUCUAGCUUCUUCAAGCUCGUCUAGUUCAACCCAAGCUCAUUUAGCUUAACUUCAACCCAUUUUUAAUUUGUUGGAAUAAGUAUUUAGUUGCUGGAAUAAAUUACUCAUCUUAGUUAAUUGAGUUCAUCUUAGUUAAUUAAGUUGUUGGAAUAUAUUACUCAUCUUAGUUAAUUUAGUUGCUAGAAUAAUUUAUUGUUGCAUGUGUUUUUAAGUUUAUUAAAUUCAGUUAAGUGUUAAAUGUGUUUAUUUACAGUUUAUUAACUAAGCUUGUUAAGUCUAAUAUGUGUUAAAAUGUGUUUAAUGUGUUUGUUUGUAGGUGACUAAUCAGUUGGAAACAAUUAUGUACAAGGGCUGUUACAAAGUGUUAAAUGCGACUAUUCAUUUGGAAUCGGUUACAUACAAGGGGCUAUUACAUUAUUUAAAGGAGAGCAUUAUACAUCAUUUAAAGGAGAAUUUAAAGCUUUUCUUAAAACUUUUUGGCUGCUCAAGAAUGAAAUCUAAGCAUUCAAGCUUAUUAAAUCAACUGAAUUAGAACAUUAAAUGAUCUUAUUGAUAGUUGCUGUUAUUUAGGCCUAGAAUUUCAAGAGUUUGUGCUUAGUGACUAAGUUAAUUUCAGCUCAUUAUUAGCUCAUUAAGCUGAACAAAAGUGACUAUUCGGCUAGGCCUCAUCUAGCACUAUAAAUACUUGUAAUCAGCUCAUUGUAAAAAAAACUUUUUGCUGAAUUUAUGCUAAAUUUGAAACUUGUGAGAUUUCCAAUUCUCGUUGUUCUUUCGAGAUUGAAUUGACUUAUCAAGUUUUCUUGUGGCAUCAUUCUUUCUUUUGUUUAAACCGAAUCUUAUCACCUUUUGGUGUGGCGUUCAUAUACAUUUGGUUCCUAUCACUUUUGAUAGUGGGUAAAGGUCAUUGCUGCUUUCUUUAAAUCGUAAAUCACCUAAGAGCCAUUUUGAGACUCGGGUCAACAAUCUAAUAUUGUUGGUUCAUUCUCGGUCUUAGCCAAAUUAUCCAUUAUUUACUUAACCAUUUUACCUACUACCAUUGUUUGAAGCCAUUUAUCCUAUUUUGUUUCAUUUAACUGAAACGAACUUAUCCUUACUCAAUUCACGAUCGGGUAAUCUAAACGACUCGAAUCAUUCCGAAACGAGUUCGUAUCAUAUAUCCUCCAUUCUUAUUGAGUGGGUGUAAUGAAAAUUCUCCUAUUUCUAAUUGUGAUAAAGUAGAAACUCUCUUUAGAAAAAAGGCAGCAACAUUUUUCAAUUAUUAAUUGAACACCUUGGUGAAUUUUCGUUUUUUUUCUUUUUUUCUUUUUACGGUUCAAUUUUCGUUUGGGUAUUGUAAUUUCAGGUUAAUCAUUGUUUGGUUGAUAUUCUCAACUUCAAUCUUUAAUUUACUUGAGAUUAUUAGUUGAUUGUUUUUGUUGGAAUUAUAUGAUUUUAUUGUGUAUUUAUGUUUUAAUCUUUUAGAAAGAAGUUUUUAUGUGGACUUUCAAGCUUCGUAAUUUUUAUUAUUUGCUUUACGUAAAAAAAACUCGUGGGAUACAAAAAUUCACAAAAAAACUUGCUAUAAGAUUACAACACAAAACCAUAAGCUUAUAACUCAACAAAAGCUAUCAAUAAAUAAUCUCAAGCUAGCUAAAGAGAAAUGUAAAGAAUAUCACCCAAACAGUAACUUGCUUUAAAAGUUAAAAAUCCAAAGUUAUAGUACCCCAAACGAAAAUCGAAUAUUAAACAUUAAAGAUCUUCGAUUCUACUAGCUAUUGUAAAAAAAAAAAAUUCCAACGGACACCAAAUAGACCUUUGAUCGAAGAAAAUACGAAAACUAGUCUGGUUAAAACUACAUGCCAAACUCACUUUUUCUCAUUUCUUUAACUUGCGGUGAAAUUCAAAACUAAGGUUAUAUUUUUUUCACUGAAAUUAACUUUAAAAAAAUUAUCUCUAAAAAAUGAUUGAUUUUUCAAAAAAGAUUGAUAUUUUUUUAUGUUUGGAUGAUUUUUUGUAAAAUAUAUUUCGUUGUUUGACAAAUUUUUUUGAAAUAAUUUUCUUAGAGUUGUUUUUAGUAAAACAAACAUAAGAUAGAUAUAUUUGUUACAAAAGAUUAUAGUAACAUUUUCUUUUGACAAUUUAAAUUUAUUUUAUAACCAGAUGAUAUUUUAUAAUAAUUAAUAUUAUAUAUAAACUUAAUAAUAAACAAUAUCUAAUUAAAACUUAAUUUAUAUUAAAUAUAUUAAUAAAGCUAAGUAUAAUUUAAACAAAUACUCAUGUUUUAUAUCAUUAAAAUAUUAAUAUAAAUAUUUUUCAAUAAUAUAUUAAGAAUAUUAUUUAAAAUUUAAAAUUAUUAUUUUUAAAAUUAAUUAUUAAAAUAAAAAUGUAAUAUUAAAUAAUUUAUCAAAAUGAUAAGUCAUAUUAAUAAUUUAUUAGAUUAUUAAAUAUAAAUAAUUAAAUAUGUAUAUUUAAUAAUAUUGAACAUUAUAAUAUUUUUUAUUAAUAUUUUAAUAUUAUUAAUAUAAUAAUAUUGGACUUGAUUCAAGUUAAUUUUUAUAUAAAAAAAUAAAAUUACAUGUAAAUGAACUCAUUUUCAAAAAAAUAACUUGUACUUUUAAAAAAGGUAAACUAAUUUACAGAAAAAUAAACUUAUUUUCUGUUAAUCUAUAAUUUUUUUUGUUAAUCAAAUUAUUUUCAUGAAAUAAAUAUAAAAAAAUACAAAAAAAAAACAGUUUCCAUAUUAACACUCAAUACUAAACUGUCAUUUUCCUCAGCUUCCCUAAUUUGUAUGUAGCAGUGAACGUUUGAUCGAAUCGAGUAAAAAAAAUUGAGUUGACGAGUCAUAUUUUAUCAUCUUAACUUGAUUUGAGAUUUUUUUAAAUCAAGUCAAAGACUAAGAGCACAUAAAUUUGAAACCUUAUCUAUUUGAAUUUGUUUUUAAAAAAAAAGAAAAAAAAUACUUUAGCAUGAUAAACUUGAAUUGUGAAUUAACUUAUUUAGAUCCCAAAAUUAUUAUUUUAUAAUUUUUUUAAAAAAUAUAAAUUUUAAAAUUUUUAUAAAUAUUUUGAAUUGAAUUUUUGUUGAGAGAGAGACCGAUCUAUCAUUUUCAAAAUUAAAAAAAAGACCAAACUAUAUUUACAGCAAUUUAUUAUUCGAAUUAUUUAAAUUAUAUAAUUUAACUCAAUUUAAAAUCGAAACUCGAAUAACUAAAUUUAAUUAACCCGAAAUUUAUUUUUUAAAUUUUUUAAAUCAAAUCGAAUUUUGUUCGCCCUACAUCAAUAACUUUGUAUCCAUAUCAAGCUUUUUUUUAAGCUAUAUAUAUUAUUUUAGAGAAUACAUGGUCACCACGGUUCAAUGAUUGAACACCACUCCACUCUCCACUUUUUUUUGUGGUUUAUCCUCUUAAUUUUUUGAGGAUAUCAUUUACUAAAUAAUUUAUUUUUUACAUAAAUUUUAAUAUAUAUUAAUAAUAAAUUAAUUCAAUUGGUAAUAUUUAACUAUUCUCAUGACUCAUUUUUAAUAAAGAAAAUAAUAAAAUUCAAUUAUGAUAAGGAGGUUUUAUUUUUAACAAAAAUUAUUUUUUAUAUUUCUAAGUUUAAAUCUAAAUUUAUACAAGUUAUUCUUUAUUUUAUAUCUAAUUAUUGUAAAACAUAAAUAAUAAUUUUUUUUUUUCCUUUUCAUGCUACCAAACAAUCCAUUAAUCAUUAAUUAUAUUAAAAUCUUUGACUUAUUAAUAUUUAUGGACAGUAAAUCGGAUGCUAAAGAAAUCUUAGUCAAACCAAAAAGAAAGAAGAGAUAGAGGUGGGCAAAGCUGAGGUUCAGCUUUCAUAAACACCUUCAUUUGAAGACACAGUUCUCAUACUCAAACCAAAAGACAUGGAAGUUUUCCUUGUAAUUAGAGAUCUGGUUUCACUGCUUGUUGUUGGGUUAUUAAUGAUAUGGGGAUGGAGGGCUUUAAACUGGGUAUGGUUGACCCCAAAGAGACUCGAAAGGUGCUUGAAACAACAGGGUUUUGCAGGAAAUCCUUAUAGGUUCCUUUCUGGAGACAUCAAAGAGAGCUUCACUAUGAGCAGACAAACAAGAGCCAAACCUAUGCCUGUUAGUGAUGAUAUUGAGGCUUAUGUUGUUCCUUUUCUUCAUCGAACUAUCAACAAUCAUGGUAUGUUCUACAUUAAUCUGCAAUUUCAUCGUGAUAUUCAGAUUUCUUUUUUUAUGUCUGAAGUUUAUUAGGGGAUAUGCAGGAAAUAAUUCAUUUAUGUGGUUUGGUCCAAGACCAAGGGUGACAAUUAUGGACCCUGAAAAAAUAAGAGAAAUAUUUACCAAAUUCAAUGACUUCCAGAAGCCUCAUUCCAAUCCACUGGUUAGAUUCCUUGUAGGUGGCCUUUCCAACCUCGAGGGAGACCAAUGGAGUAAGCAUAGAAAAAUUUUAAACCCUGCAUUUCAUCAAGAUAAGUUGAAGGUAUGUUGUAUUUGCACUUUUUUUCCUCUUUCAAUUCAAUCAUUUUGACUUACCUUAAUCAAUACCUUUAGGAGACUAAUUUUCAUUUCUAAUAUAUUUAUGUACUUCUGGUAUGGAAAUAAUUGCAGAACAUGUUGCCAGCAUUUUAUCAAAGUUGUAAUGAGAUGAUAAGCAAAUGGGAGGAGAUGGUGUCUAAAGAAGGGUACAGUGAGUUAGAUGUGUGGCCUUAUAUCGUAAAUAUGACAAGAGAUGUGAUUUCCCGAGCUGCGUUUGGGAGCAGCUACGAAGAAGGAAGAGGAAUUUUCCAACUAUUAGAGGACCUAACCUCUCUCACAAUCAAAGUUUUUCAAUCUGUUUACAUUCCAGGAUGGAGGUAAACCUGAACUUUAUCUUCGAGUUUUAAGGAAAAUGUUACAGAUGUUGAAAUUCGAAUCUCGGGUGUUUGUUUUCUUGAAGGUUUUUACCCACAAAGACUAACAGGGAGUUGAAGAUGAAACACAAAGACAUAAAAGAAUCGCUUAGGGAAAUGAUAAAGAGAAGAGAGAAGGCAAUUAAAGCAGGGGAAGAGAGCAAUGAGGACUUGUUGGACAUACUUGUGGAAUCCAAUAUCAGAGAAAUGGAAGCAAAGCAUAAGGGGAUGAGCAUUGAGGAUGUGAUUGAGGAAUGCAAGCUGUUUUACUUUGCUGGCCAAGAGACCACUUCGGUCUUACUGGUGUGGACUAUGGUUUUACUAGCAAGAUAUCCUGAUUGGCAGACUAAAGCAAGGGACGAGGUCUUGCAUGUUCUUGGUGACCGUAAACCUGAUGCUGAUGGCCUUAAUCGUCUCAAAGUUGUAA
rnacentral:lncRNA from 1 species